GUCUAUAAGGGGUGUUUAAGGAAAUUGCCUAUAAAAUGGCGAUUGAAUGGGUAUCCACUCUUACCCACCGCACUCUUGACUAGUGGAGGGUCGUUAGCCGAACGGGUAGGAUAGGACGAAACCUUCCAUUAUAAGUAUAAUGAAGUAUAAAAGUAACUAAAUGUUUUCAUAAAAUUCCCAAUCUUAGUUACUUAGGCAAAAGUGAAUUGAUGCAAUUCCAUGAAAUUACACUUUGUGCCCUUGCGAAGACGUUAGUGGAGCGUGUGUGGUUUACCGGCACACUAAAUGGUUCUAAGCAAAGGUAGCAAAGGGUGACUCAAUGUUUGUCAUAGUUCGGUGGAGCGUGUGUGGUUUACCGGCACAUCGAAUAGGUGACUGUAACAUGUGAGGGCACCAUGUAAGUUUGCAUGGUUAUUCACACCCGCUUUGUGAUCCUCGGCAUCCCAGUCACAAACAAGAGGGGCAUAUCGAGAUUUAAACAUGCCAUUGAAAUGUUCAAUGAAUCUCAAAGGAUCUAGGAGUUUUCAUAGAUUUAAAACUUAAAUUUCUUUUUCGUUUUUCAUGGUGGAAAUUAGUGAAUCGUCAUUCACUUACCUUCAAAUGUUCUGCAAUUUGGGUUACGGCAUCCCUCUCCCGAGUUGUAGAAUAUUGUGUUGGGUCCUAGCCUUAGUAUCUCAUUUGGGUGAUUUACUAAGGACUCAAUCAAUCAACUAACUUGAAUUCGUUUUCUCCCGUUUUGUAGAUGUCAAAGUUCGACAACUAUGGUCUUCCCAAAUCCCGUGGAACAAGCAUUCCACAUGAAGAUGAUAUUCCACGAUUCGAUCGAGGAACAAGAAAUCAUGCUUCACUUCCUCCACCUCCUCCAAUUAUUCUCCCUAACCCACAAGUUCAAAGGCUUGAAAAGUUCAAGAUCACUCAAGCCCUUUUGGCAAGUAAACAUAAAGAAGGAAAGUCGGUGUGUGCACACGUCCUAGGGAUGAAGUCACACAUUGAUAGGUUAAGAAUGUUGGGAUCCGUUGUCUGUGAGGAAAUGGCUGUUGAUUGGGUUCUUCAGUCACUUCCUAACUCAUAUAGUGAGUUCGUAAGAGAGUACUAUAUGAUGAACCGCGACGUGACCCUUAUAGAUCUCACCUAUAUGCUUAUUGCUGCUGAAUCAGCAAUGGUUUGGCGCAAUAGAAAAGCAAAGUUGAUUGGUGAAUCUGCCUUCAAGACCUCUAUGGAUAUAGACAAUGGCAACGAAAGACAUGCUAUGAUCGAAAAGUUUGAUCAUAAGAGAAAGGCAAUGUCUGAAGUAGUUCCAUGUCCUGUUCCAAAAGAGUCAAUUUGCUUUUAUUGCCAAGAGAAGGGGCAUUGGAGACGAAGCUGCCCUAUUUACCUAAGAGAUCUAAGAGAUGGGAGAGUCAAAACGUAUGGCUCUGCUUUAGGUAAAAUCCAUUGACUAACUCUUUUAAGCUUCUAUUCUAGAUUCUUAAUACAUAAUGUGAUAAGAUUACAAUUGAUGUUUUGUAGGAUCGAAGAAAAGAAAGGAAGCUUAAGGGAAGAAGUGAGCAGAAUCUAACCGUGAAGGAAUGGAUUUCGAUCGCAUUUCUCGAAGAUUAGAUUCUUGAGCUACUACUUAGAGUUAGAAUUAGAUUGCUAAGAAAGAUGUAUUAGCAUAGUUUUUCAAUGAAUUGCAUUGUAAGGACAAAUUUUUCCGCAAUAAAAUAAAUUUUGAUUUUAAAUUUUAUUUAUUUAUCCUUACAAUGGCGUGUAUGAAAAAUUGAUGUUAAAAUGUUUCUAUUAUUAGCAAUAAUGGAUUUGGUUCUUAUUAUGUUAUUUAUGGAAAGUCGAGAAUUUACCAAAUAGGGAGAGUUUCUCAUCGCCCAAGUUUCAAUUGGACAGAAACUUGGAAUCAUGCAACUUGGUUGCACGAUGAAUGAGAAAUUUCAUAUUUGGAAAUUAGACUAAUUCAUUGACAAAGUGUCAAGUGAAGGACUAGGAGAUCGAGUACACAAAGUUGCGUGUUGAUCAAGUCCACCAUAAGAGUAACAAAGAUAUUCGUCAUGAUUUACUAAAGGUUUAGUAAAUAUGAUUAUACUUAUAAGAUUAAGUGUAAUUCUGAAUUGAUUGAAAAAGUUUAAAUCAAUAGCAGAACGAAUAAGAAGAAUCAAGUAGGCAGAAAGAUAAAAGUUUCUCCAUUCUAAGAAGAAGGGAGAGUACCUUUUAUGCUUUAUGAUAGGUCUUAAUGAUUAAGAACCAUAUCUCAAUUGAUCCUCUAAGUGAGUCUUAGUACAAUUGUAUGUCUAAGAAGAGGAAUCAAGAAUUGAAGAAAUGGUUAAAUCAAGAAGUCAAUCAUACUUCGUUCCAAAACAAGUCUUAGAGUUAAGAUUGUGACAUUGAGUGAUAAGUAUUAAGAAGGUUUAUAACAUUCAUUAAAUGUGGAAAGUUGUGAUGUCUUGGAUAAGACAAAGACCAACUAGGACCAAUUUAUGAAGUGUUUUGAUAAAAGCUACACUAACUCUUGAAUAUUUGUUUGUCAAGAAAUGUUUUUUGACAAGAGAAUCUUAUAUGUCAAGGAGUCAGUGGGAGUCUUAAUGGUCUUGAAAGGUUUCAAGAACAAAUCAAAUAAACCUUAUCGAUCAUCACUAGCACACGAGUUGAGGUUUACAACCUAUCGUGUUGACAUUAUUUUGAUUCUGUGCCAAUCCAAUCGAGUUAAUUAUGCAUGUGAGUUCUAUGAGUUCUCAUUUUGAACGCAUAAAAGGCAAAGCACCUUAAUCAAUGAAAGGUACAUUGAUAGGAAAGGGUGAGCUGCUUAACUACUUGGAAGACAUGGUGGGCAGCUGUGCUACCAUAAAGGCAAGAAAUCGAGAUCAAGAAAGUUCGAUCCAUAAGAGUUUGAAUUUGUCGUAAACUUUGGUUUUGACAAAUUCACAUGGAUAGGAACAAAUACACCGUUUAAAUCUAAGUGUCAUAAGAUUUCCUCCUUCAUGAAAAUGAUUGUGAGGAAAUGCUUUCACUAAGAAAGAUUUUAAGAAGAUAGUGAUUGUAAAAUUGCAUUCUCGAAUUCAAUUAUGGUUACGGCAUCCCUUUCCAUAAUUUGAAUUGUGAGGUUUGGCAAUUAGUCUUAAUUGUUUAGACACACAUAUGAACUAUCGAAGGCAAAUGUGUAUAAGUUCAAGAAACCUUGAUAAAAGAUUAUCAAAGCACUAAGUAUUAGAAACAUGAACUUAAGAAAUUCAAUAAGCAUUUUUUUUCUGAAAGUUAAGAUGUUUAUGAAUACAUGUCGAAGCUAGUGGGAGCAUAAGUGUUAUGUUUUAUAAUAAUCAUCAAGAUAGUGGGAGCAUAAAAGUUAUGAUUGUAUGAUUAUUAAGGAAAGUAUUGCAAGGUUAGCAAUAUUAAUUAUAGAAAACAAGAGUCAUACUUUGCAAAGUCGCAAUAGUUGAAGAGUUGUUUUGCUAUAAUUAAGGGAGAGAAUAUUAUGCUUCAUUUCAAAUCUAAAGGUUUAGGUUGAGAAAUGUUAAUAAAAUUUAGUCAAAGGUACAAAGUGUGUUCUUAAAAUUUCGAUUAUGAUUACGGCAUCCCUCUUCACAAUUCGAAUUUUGAGAACAUAGCAAAUAAAACAUUAUGCGUCGUGUCCCAUACGCUUCGGGUAUAGGAUCGAUUGCAAAUGCUUUAAUGUUUGACCAUUCUAAAAUUUUCCAAAUGUCGAGCGCAUUUAGAGGGAAAAGGGACUAGAAUUGGUUUUGACUAAAAUAAUUAAACAACUAUCAAAGGACAAUCCAAAGUUCGACGAGGAUUGGUCGCUUGUGAGUAGUUGGAAGUAUAGUAUUGGAAAAUAUGGAAAUGUUUCCAUAUUGGAUGGACCAUAUCGACAUCAUUACGAAUAGAUAAGAUUCUAUUAAGAAUGAGUUGUCAUAUGGAACAUAUGGAAGUGUGUCCAUAUUGGGAAUUGAAUAUUGAGAAAUCUAUGACUAGAUUAGAAACUUCUAUGCAAAAGGAUGUUCAAAGAAUGUACUUUGAGUGAGAGACAUCACAUCUAUGGAAUUGUCUUGUAACAAUCUCCGAUAGAGGACUUUGUAAUAUCAUUGGCAAUAGUCUUUGUGACUUUGGUGCAGUGACAUUACGAAAGGAUAGUUGCAUAGAAUGUUAGAAUCUAGCAUAUUCUAUAAGUAGCAAGAAUUUGAUAUUCUUACACUUAUGAAAAAGGAUUUGGAGUUGUGAAAUGAGAAUGAUUGGAAAUGUGUUCAAUGUGAUCUAUUUCACAAAGUAAGAACCAUAGGUAAACAUUGUGUGCAUGCUAGGAGCAUGGGACAAGUGUUGUAAUUCAAGUAAGAAGUUGAUUACCCGAAACGACAAAUAAUGAGUAAUCAAUAUGGUGAUAAAUAAAAGGUGUUUUAUUUAUACUCAAAGGUUUGAGGCCAUAUGGGAUUAGUAUUAUUCUUGUGUUUCACAUUUGCAUGUUUUGACUUCCAGAAUAAUUGAGUUUAUUAAGAAUAAUCGAAUUAUUCGAACGGGCCACAGUCGUUCAUAUGUUGGAAGUAGAUAUGAAUGAAGACUGUCGUGAAUUGGUGUGUGGAUUGUCUAAAAGAGUAUUAGACAUAAGCAAAUGUUUGCUGCAACGUUCAUGAGUGCUUAUGAAUAUGAUUUGAGCAUUGGAUUAAACCCACGCUCACUUGGAUCACUCCAUGAAUUGUAUCACGAGUGAUUGGUGAGACGAUAACAUCUUAUAUUCUUGAAACCGAGAUGUGUGAGUUGUAUCUUGCAAAUCGGUUGCACAUUGAUAAUAUGUAAACGCACUAGUAACUUGGUGUUAUAAAACAUAUUGUUGUGUGUGAUUUGGUUAGUGAGUGCAAGCAAGCAUUGUAUCAAAGUUUAUCCGUUCCUUUUAUCCAAAGUAGGAUAAAAGCGAUAUCUUUGGGCCCCUCGAUGAUUUAGUGAUGACAAACGUAAAUGCUCGGCCGGGCUAGGGCUAAUUUGAUUUGUUCAAUUAGUCAGUCGUCAUAAAUCGGGAAUCGAGAUAUAGUACAAAGAGAAUGAUUUGAAAUCAUAUCUCAUAUGAUAUCUAGAAUGGAGGAAUAUAUGAUCCCUUAUCUAAGGACACGCGUAUCUGAUAGGAUCAGAGUUGACAGCGGCUUUGGAAAGCUACGAUUGCAGAUCAGGAUCUGAAGUCAUACGCAGAAUAGUUAUUAGACUUAUCCAAGUGGGAGACUGUUGGAUUAGUGUCUAAGUCCAUAACUAUUUUGGUAUGUACUUGACCCGAUGGUGCAUGGUCCUUUUGGGUUGCCUUCACCAAAGCAACUUGAUUGGAGAAAUAAAUAGAGAGAGAGGUUAUUAUGAUUUAUUAAUAUGUUAUAAGAGUAAUGUAUUAAAGGAGAAAUCAUAUUUGUUUAAUUAAUAUUGGUCAAUAAUUAAUUAAGAAUUAAUUUUGUGAUCAAGUGUAAUUAGUUAAACUAGAGGGGCUGAAUUGUAAUUAUGUGAUAGUUACAAAAUAUGGUAAUGGUUAUCCUAAAUAUGGUUUGAACAAAUUCAAGGAGAUAAGGAUCCUUGAAAUCGUCCAAAGGAUAAAGGAUAAGGGUUUUCAAGGCUUAUCUUAUGGUUGCUUUGUGGAUAAGCAACUAGAUAAGGAUAAUGACUGAAACCCUAUCNAAGGACUAAAACCCUAAUCUCUACACCUAUAUAAAGACCCCUAAGGCUCAUGAAUUCGUCCAUGCCUUCCCAAGAGGUCCUAGAGAUGAAUUCUUAUACCUCUCCUUUCUCUUUAUACCUUCUCCAUUUGCUCUUGGUGUUUGUAAGCCAUUAGAGGAGUGACACUUGUGACUCUAAGCCUUCCAAAGUCAAUUCAAGGAGGAAUUGGGAUUGUUAUUGCUACAUAACAAUCAAGGUAAUAUCUUAAACCUAAUUAUAUGUUAAUAUUGAUUUCCAUAUGCUAGAAUUAGGGUUUAUAGUCUUGGAUUCAAAGCAUGUACAAUAGAGAAACCUAGAUCCAAGCAUUAGGGUUUGUAUGAGCACAUAGGAUGUCUUAUGACAAAAACCCAUCAGCUUUCCCAUGGUCUUUCGUAGAUCGGUAGUGGUUCUAAUAAUCCCGCCGGUUUGGCCUGUUCGACCUUAUCUUGUUGACAAAUAAGGAAAGUCCUCACAUAGGUGUCUAUGUUACUUCGCAUAAUUGGCCAAUAAUAGGAUCGUUCUAUGAUUGCUUUCGUACGAUGAGUACUUGGAUGUCCAGCCCAUUUGGAUUCAUGACAUUCCUUUAGGAUUUCUCUUCUCAAGUUGUUCCAUCUUGGGACAUACAUUCGAUUGCCGACCGUGAAUAAUAAUCCGCCUUCGACCCAAAAUUUUCUGGUCUUGCCUUCUCUUGCCAUUUCCAUUAAGUUCUUCGUUAACGGUCGUGAUUUAGCCCUUCCUUGAUCCGGUCAGCAAAAUCGCAUGUUACUCGAGAGAGGGUUGCUAGUUCGGCCUUUCGACUCAGGGCCUCCGCAAUUACAGUGGUUUUUCCCGGCUUAUAUUCCAUGACAUAAUCGAAUUCUGCUAAGAAAUCUUGCCAACGAGCUUGCUUAGGACUUAUCUUCUUCUGAUUUUGGAAGUAACUAGUCGCCACAUUGUCGGUUUGGAUAACGAACCGACUCCUAAGCAAAUAGUGUCUCCAUAAUCGAAGGAAAUGUAAGAUUGCUUUCAUUUCUUUGUCGUGUACUGGGUUUCUCCGUUCUGUAUCAUUUAGUUUCCGGCUUUCGUAGGCCACUGGAUGGUCAUCUUGUAAUAACACUCCUCCAAUCGCGAAGUCUGACGCAUCCGUUUGCACUUGGAAUGGUUUCGUGUAGUCUGGUAGCUUUAAGACCGGUUCCUCCGUGAAAGCUUUCUUUAGAAGAUCAAACGUCAUUUGACACUUCUCAGUCCAUUCCCAUGAAACUUUCUUUUUUAGAAGGUCGGUGAGGGGAGUGGCUUUAGCUGAGUUUCUGCCGGAUAUAAAUCUUCGAUAGUAGUUUAUAAGGCCUAGGAACGAUCGUAGUUCAGAAACAUUCUUUGGUGGCUCCUAUUCUUGGAUUGCUCGUAUCUUGUUGCUAUCCAUAUGGAUCUUCCCAUCAACGAUCCUAUGCCCUAGGAAUGUUACUUCUGGUUGGGCAAAGGAGCAGUUUUCUAUCUUUAUGUAUAAUUGGUUUUCCCUGAGUACUUGGAAGACUAACCGCAAGUGUUCAACGUGCUCUCCUAACGACUCUGAGUAAACUACAAUGUCGUCGAAGUACACCACUACGAAUUUGUCCAAGAAUGGGUGGAAUAUCUUAUUCAUUAAAGUGAAGAAUGUGGUAGGGGCAUUUGUCAAUCCAAAAGGCAUGACUAAGAAUUCGUAGGAGCCAUACCUUGUCACACACGUUGUCUUUGGUUCGUCCCCUGUUGCUAUGCGUACUUGCCAAUAACCCGACCUUAAGUCCAGCUUUGUGAACCAUCGUGCACUCUCGAGACGGUCAAAUAGAUCAGCUACCAGUGGGAUCAGGUACUUGUUCUUUAUCGUUACUUUGUUCAGGGCCCGGUAGUCUAUGCACAUUCUUAGACUUCCGUUAUGUUUCUUCUGGAACAAGACUGGGGCACCGAAUGGGGCUUUUGAAGGGCGGAUAAAUCGUAGCUCUUUAAAUUGUCUUCUUAGCUCUUCCAACUCCGGUGGAGCCAUUCUAUCAGGACACAUCGCCGGUGGCUUAGCUCUGGGCUCGAGUUCUAUCUCGUGAUCCACUUCCCUUCUCGGUGGUAACUUCUUUGGUAACUCUGGCGGCAUCACGUCCUUGAAUUCUUCUAGUACUUUUUUCACUAUCUCUAGCAUCUCUUCAUUGAGAGGGGUGGUUUCUUCUUUUAACGUUGCUAAGUAUGUCUUUUCUCCCUUCUUUAGUCCCUUGUUGAGUUGCAUGGCCGACAAGAUCCGGGACUCCGUUUUGCUUCUUUCCAAGGGUACGAUGUGUAUCGUUGAAUCCUUGGUGAUAUACAUGGUUUGAUCUUCGAACGAGAAAGGGCGUACCUGGUCGAAGAAAUCCAUCCCCAAGACCAUGCAAUAAUCAUCCAUGGGUACUACGGUUAGAUCGAUAGGACCCUUCCAUCCUCCGAUCUCGAUAACUACCCCAUAAGCUACUCUAAGAAUAGGCUCGGAAGGAGAGUUGACAACUUUCAACCAUCCUAUUUCUUUGGUGUAUUGAAUGUUCAUCUUUUCAGCUUCAUUUUUAGAAAGGAAAUUAUGGGACGCACCUGUGUCUACUAAGGCUUUAGUGACUUUCUCGUUUAUACUAACUUCCAGAAACAUGAGUCCUCUUUCCUUCUUCGAGUGGGUCUCUUCUUUUCCCACCGAAUUGAGGCGUUGCAUUGAGCCUAGUUGUGCCUCGUCUAUCUCUUCCUUUUCUUUUUCGAAGACCAUCGCAUUGAAGCUUUUCUUCUUGGGACAAUCUUUGAUUAGGUGAGGGCCGUCACAUAAGUAGCACUUGACUUCCCUUCGAGGUCCCCCUUCAAUCGCCUUCCCCUUGAAAGUUGAUGGUCUUGCAGUGGGUUUAUCAUCCUUCUGUUGCGGCCUAGUUGUCGGUCUCUCUCCCCACUAGGUUUCCUAAUCGGGGUAUCUCUUCGGAAGUCCAUAAGGUCUUCCGCUACUGCUAUAGCUUCGUCAACAUCUUGGACGUUCCUCCUCUUGAGCUCGUUGUAAUCCCAAGAUUGUAGUCCAUCUUGGAAGUAAAAUAACUUGUCUUUCUCCUGUAAAUCGGGUAACUCCAGCAUCAAGGCAGUGAACUUUGCUAUGUAAUCUUUGAUAGACCCGACAUGUUUCAAUCCUUGGAGUUUCUUCAUGGCAACGUCUUCAGGAUUAUGGGGGCAUAAUUGUUUCUUGAGUUGUCUCUUAAACUCGUCCCAAGUGUCUAUGACAUAUAAGCCUUUUUCAAUGUCGCCAUGCUUCCGCCUCCACCAUAGUGUCGCGUUUUCAAUCAAGUACAGAACGGCGGUGUCUAUUUUGUACUUCUCAUCCUUUACUCCGAUAGCAUUGAAAUAACAUUCUAGGGACCAGAAAAAUUCUUCAAGUAGUUUCGGAUCAUGCUUACCUCCAUAUUUCGAGGGUUUAGGUGCUUCUUUGUGUGGCGUCAUCUUUGUGACAGAUCCUACGGCUAUCGCUGCUUUGCAUAGCUUCACCUCAUCUUCUAAAGCGAUUAUCUUCUCACGAAUCUCAUUUCGCAAGGUGUUGACAAGUCCAAGGACUUCUUCCUUGAUGACACCGAUGGUCUCCUUCAAUCCAUCGCUCAUGUCACUUAUCUCCGCAACGAACUGAUCAACGAUAUCCUUCCAUUCAAGGAUCUCCCCGAUGUUGAUCUCCGUCCUUGUAAGCUUGUUUUCUAAGCUUGCCAAGGUAUCUAUCGAUUGGUCCCUCUUCUUGGACUUUCUUCCUCUCUCUUCGACGAUAGGGGGUAGGUUAACUAUUUCGCUACUUCCUGCUUCCAUAGUCAUGAUCUCUUGCUUGUACGAAACCUGGCUCUGAUACCACGUGUCACGGGACAACACAAUCACCGUGUGCCACUUAGUGUAACUUUGACUAAGUCAGGCUAGGACACUUCUUUUGGAUGUACUAAGUAAGCAAGAGAAUAAAGGCUUUGAAGUUUUUACAAACGAAAGAGAACUUCUAUUAGAGAGCUCGAGAGAAUACAAUAGAACUUCCAAUGGUUUGGAGCAAAUGAGAUCCUCCUUAUUUAUACUUGUCCUUCCCCCUCUUAGGAAGUUUCUAGAUAUUACUACAUUAGUCCUAUAUUCUUGACUAAUCUAGAAUAUUCUACCAAGUUACAUAUAUUUACAAGUCUUCAUGAAAUGUUCUAAAUCAUUCUUUGAUGUCCUAGAGAAAUCUAGGACGUCCAGGGUCUAAUGUGCUAUACUUGUAAGUUCUCCCAUUUUCUUGAGUACUCCGGAAGAGUCUAGAAUCUCGAUCGUGACAUUUAGGGCUCAAGGAGGAAAAAUGUAUUCCUUGUGGAAGGAUGUAAUGUUGGUUAAGAGAUUUAAUCCUUGAAUUAUGUUUUGGGUCGAAGGGUAGAAAGAGAAAUGUCAUAGAUCGUGUUCUUGCAUGAAAUAUGAAUUUUUGUUUGAGAAGUUUUUAGUCCAAGAUAUUUAGAUAAUAUUGUAGAACUCUUCAAUACCUUUCCGUGGAUAUAAAGAACAUCGAAAACGGAGUUGGAACGAAGAAGUUACGAUCGUUUGAAGCUAGGACCAUUUUUGGGUCAACCACGUACGCUGGGUGUAAAUUGAGUACGUUGGGCGUACUAAGUAUACCUGAGUACGUUGGGCGUAAAUUGAGUACGUUAGGCAUAUGUGAUCAGUGCCUAAACCCUAUUUUUGUGGUUUGAGCUCUAUUUAAGCUCGUUAACUUCCCUAAGCCCAUUCCAUUCUCAGCCUCCACCUCUCCAACACCCUCUCUUGAAACCCUAACCCUAGAUUGAGCCUUGUGAGCAAAAAUAAUGUGUUUUUAAGUGCUUUGGAAUGUUCUUGGUGCACCUUGGAGAAGAAGAAACUCAUUGAAGAAGUGUUGGUUAUUUUGGAGUUUGUAGAUCCAGAAUUUGUUCACCUUGAUCUUUCUUCUAGAUGUAUAAAGUUUGAAUCUUGAUGAUGAAAUUGUUAGAUCUAGCUAGUAUUGGGUGUUACGAGCUUUUGGUCACUUUAAGUGCAUAAAGUUUAGAUCUUGAAAGUUUGUGACCUUGUUAUGGAUAAAGUUGGAAACUUUAUCCAUCUAAAAAUUAUUUUGAUUCAGAUCUAAAGGUUGGACACUUGGACUUAAUGGAUUAAGUUGAAAAAGAUGCACUUUUGGGUCCCUUUGAGACUUAAAGACUAGAUCUUAUUUUUUGGGAGCAUUCUAACAGAUAAAGUUGGAAAGUUUAUCCAUUAUGGAGCUAUUGUGAACCAUAAAAAUGUGAUAUUUAUAUCCCUUCUAUACAAGAGUUGUGAUGUUUUAUUAGGUUAAGAACUUAGGGUCUUGGACAUUAAGCACUUUAUACCAUGCAAAGUCAUAAAGUUGGAAACUUUAUGACAUAGAACAUUAUUUGGGCUUGGAUCUGAGUUUUGGACGUAAGGGCUUAAAGAAAUAAUCUCUUAAUUGAGUUUUAGGACUAGACGGCAUACACUGGGCUUACCUGGUGGAACGCUACGUGUACGCGGUCAGCACCCCACUAUUGGUCAACAUCAGAGUAUGCUAGGCGUACUCUCUUGGUAUGUAGAGCGUACUCCGCUGGGAAGAAAUAUUGACUUUUGGACCUUGACUGUUGACUUUGACUUUAACCAAGGUUAACCAAGUUUGACCUAAGGGCAUUUUGGGUAAUUUGAUUAUAGUUUGAGAAUUAGGUUCUGUUAAUUGUAUAGGUGACCGAUAGAGACAACUUUUAGAGAAGUGAUCGGUGCAACUGUUCUUUAAGACUGUGAAGUGAGUUUCCUCACAGUGUUUUAGCGUGUCAAAUGAACCAAUGUCGGUCCAUGGUUUUUUUAUGUUAGAAUGCUAGACAUCUACAUAACUCUUGCAUAUGAUAUGUGUUUAUAUGUUUACCGGACGGGGCCUAAUGCCGAGCGGAGCCCGAUGACUAUCAUGUAUGUUAUUUAUCUUUCUGAUUAUUGCAUGUGUUUAUAUGGUUAUAUGUUUAUUUGUUUAUAUGUAUACCGGGCGGGGUUUGAUGUCAGGCGGGGCCUGAUGAUUGACAUAUCUGUUUACCAAGCAAGGCCUGAUACAGGGCGGGGCCCAUUACUUGUUUGAUAUGUAUGGUAUGUGGUAUUUUAGGGGAACUCACUAAGCUUUGUGCUUACGAUUCUCAGUUUGUGUUUUAGGUACCUCGAUUUAAAAAAAAGGAAGAGCUUGGGUUGACAACAUUACACACACCACAUUGUUCCACAUUUUAUAAAACUCUGAUAUAUUUGGAUGUUUAUUGGCAUACGCUGAGUUCACUACAGUUUUUACGAUAUUUUUUUUGAAGUUCUGGAACGGUCCAGCAAUCUAAUUACCGACCAUGCCAUCAUGCAUCUUGAUAUGCACCAUGCCACUACCUUUGAUACUGCUCACCCAAUCAUCACCCAUCUCUACUGUGCCAUCCCACUCUUUGAAGGAGUCGAACCAGUCAUGAUUAUACAUCAUGUGAUAGGAUGCUCCAGAAUCCAAGACCUAAGUAUCAGCAGAACUAGAUGUACACACAGUUAGUACAGCACCAUCGUACCCUUCAUCAGAACUUUCCUGAACCACAACAGCAGUGUUAUUGCUGCUUGAUUCACUCUUGGACUUUCCAUUCCUCAGCUGUGGAAAAUUUCACUUGAAGUGCCCCUUCUCCUUGUAGUUAUAACAUUUCAUGUUUGAUGAUCCUUUAGACUUUGAUUUUGAACUUGAUCUCCCUUUGUGUCUCCCUUUCCUCUCUUCUGUCCUCCCUCACCUUGCAAACAAAUCGGGACUGGACACCGCCUGUCCACCUGAAAUUUUUCUUUUCAAUUCCUUGGACGUCAGAGAGUCCUUCACAUCAUUCACAGUGAAUGUUGUCCUACCAUAAAUCAUGGUAUCAACAAAAUUCUCAUGUAAGUUAGGAAGUGAACAUAAGAGAAUGAGCAUCUAAUCUUCAUCUUCAUUCUUCACAUCAACACCUUGUAGAUCUAAGAUGACGCAAUUGAAGUUAUCCAGAUGAUCUUUCACUUAGGUACUUUCAGACAUCCUAAGAGUGUACAACCUUUGGUUAUGAUACAACCUGUUCAUCAAUGAGUUGUUCUGGUACUUGUCACAAAGUUUAUCCCAGAGCCAAGAAGUUGUUGUUUGAUCCACAACCUCCCUCAGUACUUCAUCUAUCAAGCUCAAUAGAAUGGCACUAUGUGUCUUCUUCAGAAUAUCCACUUUCUUAUCAACCGCCAUAUCCUUUGGCAGUUUUGUUUCUCCUUCCAGUGGCGCCGCACAUCCUUGUUGAACCAGAAGAACCCUCAUAUUCACCUUCCACAAAGUGAAGUCAUUUGAUCCAUUGAACUUCUCUAAAUCGAACUUGUGAGUAGACAUCUUCAAUCACAAGAAUAUAAACCACAGCUCUGAUACCACUUGUUAGGAAGUAAUGCGGAUAACAAGCAAAACCAAAAAAACACAAAAGACAUAGUAUUUACGUGGUUCGGUCAAGGAGACCUACGUCCACGGGCAGGAGGGGAGUAUUCUUUAUUUCAGAGCUCUAAACACAUAGGUUACAAGUACAAUUACAUAGAGAUUCGCCUAUCACUCUAGAAUUCAAGAUACAAAAUGACAUAGCAUGCAUCCCUAUUUAUACUUGAGGGAUCAGACCUAAAACCCUAAUGGGCCAAGCCCAUUGGCCUAUAGGCCCAUGAAGGGUGUUACCAAUCACAAUCCGCCAUACACCAUCUUCUGGAACAUUCUUGAGCAUUAUCAUCUUCUAGGCAUACUUGGAUCAACAUGGCACGAUAAAGGAAUAAAUAUGGCGCAUCAUGUACCAAGAUGGUCCAUGAUGGCACAAUAGCUUCUUCAUGGCGCAACAGCAACCCUAGUUGGCGCAACAAGGAUCUAAAUGGUGCAAGAGCAUCAAGUAUGGCACACAACAUCAAUUUUGGAGCAACAACAACACCAUGAGCAACAGGCACGUGCAUGGCUCAACAAGGCCAUGCAUGGAUCAACAGGAAAACAAGAUGGCGCAAGAGGAGAACAAUAUGGAGCAAGAGCAUCCCUUUUUACCCAUCUUUUCAUCAUGUGGAGAAACAAGUGCCCCUUGUUGCUCCAUAUCCCUUCCAAGUCCUCCAAACUCCUUCCAGGUGCUCUAAAACCCCUUGUACACGAUCCAUUCCUUUGGCACUUGAUCAGUUCCUUUUUCUGAUGAUCCAUUCCUUUCUUAGAAGAUCCGUUCCUUUGUUACAUGCUCCAUGAACCCCAAGUGCUCCAUUGAGUUCCAAGUGCUCCAAAUGCUUCUUGAACAUGAUCCAAAUGCUCCAUAUGUUUGAGUCACAAUUAACAGAUUUGAAUCGGGGUUUUCCUGUUACCACCACAUCAAUAUAAAGUGGCAUUGGGGUACUCAUAUUUUCAUCCCUCUCCUCCCUCCUAAAAAGCAGGGAAUUUUGUUUCUGACCUCUCUCUCUUUCUUAUCUCUCUCCUUAGUUUCUAGGGUUCUUGUUUUUUUGGUGUGAACCAUUAAAGAUACUCUACUUUUGGUACUAUUAUUCCAAGAAGAAACAAAGAGCAUCAAUAGCUCAAGUCUAAAAGGAAAUCAAAUUGUAUAAAGUUUAGUAUUUGAAUCCCUCCUCUUCUAGCUUCUUAUGUUAGUUUUAAAAGUAUGUUUUUGUAAUAGUAAAACUUAGAUCUUCGGGUGCAUGUAAACUUAGGAUAAUUUGCGAAUGCUUCUGUGUGAUCAUAUUUUCAUCCCUCUCCUCCCUCAUGAAAAGCAGGGAAUUUUGUUGCUCACCUCUCUCUCUUUCUUAUCUCUCUCCUUAGUUUCUAGGGUUCUUGUUUUUUGGUGUGAACCAUUAAAGGUACUCUAAUUUGGUACUAUUAUUCCAAGAAGAAACAAAGAGAAUCAAGAGUUCAAGUCUAAAAGGAAAUCAAAUUGUCUAAACUUUAGUAUUUGAAUCCCUCUUCUUCUAGCUUCUUAAGUUAGUUUGAAAAGUAUAUUUUUGUAAUAGUAAAACUUAGAUCUUUGGGUGCAUGUACACUUAGGAUAAUUUGUGAAUGCUUCUAUUGCCAUGAUCUAGUGUAUAGUUGCAUAGAAAGCUCAACAAUGGUAUCAGAUCCAUAAGUUUUUAUUAUAUGCACAUGAUUUAAAACUUACAAUUUUGGAAAAUUAAAGAAACCUGAAUCGUAGGACGCAACAGGCCCUGCCAUAUUUUUAAUGUAUUUGGGAUUUUUGCUAUAUUUUCAAAUUUAGGGUUUAUCUUUAUUUUUAAUUGUGAUCUUAAUCUGUUAAAAUCUGUAUAACUAAAAUAGGAAGAUAAAUAUGUCUAACUGAUUUGAAGAUAUGGAUAAUUAUUUAAUAAUUAAUUAAUUAUAAGAUAAUUAAAAUAAAUCGUAAGAUUUUAAAUUGUUUUAAAUACACCCCUCAUAAAUUUUAAAGUUUAUAAUAGAAUCCAAAUUUAUAUGUAAUGCCUUAUAUAUGUAAAAGAAAAAUAUUGCCACUUCGUUUCUUUGUGUGGUGGAUUGUCGUUAUCCAAAAGGAUUCAUUAUGAUGAUGUCUAUUUAAAAUUAUAACAAAUAUAAGUACUAAAAAAAAUUCAUGUUCUUACUUAUUUUAGGAAAAUGUGAAUAGUUUCUAAUCAAUGAUUAAUGCACAUAAAUUGUUACGAACAUUGUUUAUGGAGUUGUGUGGAUAAUCGACACAUGAAUUUAAUAUGUAAAUAGACAAUGAUGUAGACUUAUGGUUCUGGCUUAUUGAUGAAGUGUGUGAGUGGAUAACCAACACAUCAAUAUGAGGGCCAUAACAUAAUCAAGGGUCUUUUUGCAUGGUUGGUUCACCAUCAUAUUUGUGAUACCUCUGUAACCUAGGCAGAAAUAUAGGAUGUGCAAAUCCGAGAUUAACAUGCCAUUAAUUAGUUUUAAUGAAUCUCAAGGAUCUAUGAGUUUCAUAGUUAGUUGAAAUUGGUAAAGUGUAUUACCUACCCAAAAUAAAUUUAUAAUAUGAUUAUGAUAUCCCUUUUCAUAAAGCAAAUUAAAAUAUGGAUCCUAAACUUAAAAUAAAUUGGGUAAUUGUUUAAGGAUUGAAUCAACUAAAAUCACUCUCUCUUUUAAUAGAUGUCGCGAAUUCCUCUUCUUCAUCCUCCUCCCACCAACUGAAACUUCUCAUUCAUUUAUGUUCUCCAAAGAGAGAAACUCAUUGGCGGGGCCAAGUACCUCGACUGGAUGAGGAACCUGAUGAACACUUUGUGGUAUGACAAUCGUGAGUACGUGCUCUAUGAUCUAAUUCCUAAAAUCGGUGAGCACUCAAUUGAUGAAGAGAAAGCCCUCCAUUCAAAACAUGUCAAUGACUCAAAUAAGUUCUAUUGUAUCUUAAAGAUCUAAUAUGCUCAAGAAUCAUAUUAAAGUGAUAUUGCUAAUUAACAUAUGAUACUAAAGGGUCACACUAACAACAACUUGAUAUAAUUGAUUAAUGAUUAGAAAUUGAUUUUAAUAAAUAUUCAAUAAACUCUUAUAAUUAAAUUGGAAAUUACUUAUUUCUAGGAAAUAAUAAUUUUCAUUAGCAAUUAGCAUUAUAUGUAAUUCAUGUGGUAUGGAUUGAUAAGUCAUGCACAACAUUUUGGACUUAAUAAAUUCUUUUCUCUUUUAACAAAAAGUUAAAGUUUAUAUUUUAUAAACUUGGUUUUUGAAAUAUAAAGGUUUUGUCUUCUUAUGAGCUCCUAGUUUUGAAAGUAAGAGAAGAAGUAAGAAGGCAUGGUUGUUUGAUUAAUUUAAGCAAAGAAUACAUGACUUACAAAGCAAGGGGACACGCAUCGUUUAGUGACAUGGGGGCUUUAGAGGUUAAGAGCUUAUGUGUAAAAGAAUCACUUUAUGAAGUCUUUCAUGCCUUCCAUUGGUUGAUAUAUAAAACCGUAACAUGCAUCAUAGAUGCAUGUUCUCUCCAUUUUGAAAGGCUUUCAAGUUUACUUUUUGCAUUUAUGCUCUCCUUGGAUCAUAUUUUGAUAUGAACUAAAGCUUAAGAGUUUAUAAGAGUUCAUGGAAUAACAUCUUCAUCAAGUUGAAAUAUUGUUGGUAUCACUAAAGUUAUACAUUCUUCAUCAACUUACAAACCUCCCAUGAGGAUCCAAAGGACAACAAAGGCUGUAUUUUCUCCAUCUCUUCUUUGGUUGGUGUUGUUUUAUUUCCAAACUUUGCAAAAUGAUCCUUGGCGGGUUUAACUUAUUUAUGUUAUUAAAAAAUGAUCAAGUCUUCUGUUACUACAUAUUAUGUUUUUGAAACUAGUUUUUGAAUAAAAACCCAACAAUAUCAUGAUCGAUUCAAUGUCAUCAGAUCUCCAAAAGACAUUCAAGAACACUUGGGCCUAUGAGAUGAACUUACAAUUGAUGAAAUGUUUCAACAGAGAGAAAGACAAUAUCAAUUCAAUGGAUUUAAUGCCCUAACAUCAUGAAAACAAAAAGAAGGUGGUUUUAUGUGUACUCAUGUAGAACGGAUGAAGAGCUACAUAGACAAAUUGAAAAACCUCGAUAUUGUCUUUAAUGAGAACCUAGCACCGAAUCUCAUGCUUGGUUCCUUUGAAAGUUCAUACGAUAACUUUAUCAUGAAUUACCAUUUGAAUAGUGUUGACAAGACAAUCAUGGAACUCUAUAGUCUUCUCCAGAAAGCUGAAGUCUACAUAAAGAAUGCUCUCGAUGUGCCAACCAAUCAAGUUAUUGCCAUCCAAAGUGGUGGUGGAAACAAGUGAAAGUGUUCCAAUCCCAAGUGGAAAGCGUUAUUAGUGGCUUCGCAUUCCCAGUGUGGGGAAAAGGCUAAAGGAAAUAGAACAUGCCCACCUAUGAGUGAUCAAAAGGAUAGUAGGGUUCAAGAAACCGGGUCUACUUCAAGUACUCAUAUUAUCGAACUUCAUAAUACUACUAUUUCUUAUUCAUGGGUUCUUGAUACUGGUUGUGGUGUUUACAUAUGUAUAGUAUUGUAGAGACUAAAAGGAAGAAGGAAGCGUAAGCUUAGGGAGAUUAAUCUGAUCAUGGGAAAUAAAUGAAGAGGGCCUAUCACAAUGGUUGGAGAGUUCGAAUUGAAGCUAGCUAGUGGAGUUAUGAUUAAUUUAGCUAAUUGUUAUUUUUGGGCUGAUAUGUGUAGAAACUUUAUUUCUUUCCAUGUAUUGCAUAAAGAAGGUUUUCCGUUUUCAUUUGACAAUGAAAAAGGUUACAAUAUAGUUUAUAAAAAUGCUUGUUUUCAUUUUAAUGCUUCCACUUGCAAUGACAUAUUUUAAAGUAUUGAUUGUGUUUCUAACAAAUACAACGUUAACUUAAAUAUUGAUUCUUCUAAUAAUCUAGAUAAAUCAUUAUUGUGGCAUUGUCGCUUAGUCCAUAUAGAUAAGAAGCACAUCGCCAAGCUCCAGUCAGAAGGAAUUUUGAAAUCACUCAACCUUAGAUCGGAUGAUGUAUAUGAAUCUUGUUUGUUAGGAAAGAUGAUAAAAUCAUCAUCCAUAGGCGAUUUUAUCCAUAGGCACUUGUGAAAGAGGUAAAGGAUUUUUGGAUCUCAUACAAAAAGAUAUGUGUGGACCCUUCAGAUCAUCCAUAAGGAAUAGUAAACACUACUACUGGAUUAGGUGUCUAAGCCUAUAACUAUAAUUGGUAUGUACUUGACCCAAAAGUAGCAUGGUCCAUUUCGGGUUGCCUUUAACAAAGCAAUUUGACAGGAUGGAUAUUUGAGAAAGAGGUUAUUUGUGAUUUAUUAAUAUAUUAUAAGAAUAAUAUAUUAAUUGAGAAAUCAUAUUAUUUAAUUCGUAUUGAUUAAGAAUUAAUUUGGAAUUAAUUUAGCGAUCAAAAGAGACUAAUUAAAUUAACAGGGACUGAUUAUGUAAAUGAGUGAUACAUAUGGAUUGGGCUAUUGAUCCAAGAUGGAAUAAGUUUAUGUGAGAUUCCAUGAAGAUUUAGUCCAUAUGAGUUAUUGGAUCAUAAGCCUAAGUGUAAGAAUUAAGGUUUGCAUAUGACUCUUGGAAUUCUACAAUAUAUAUGUAUUCCCUAAACCCUAAAAUCAUUACUAGUGUAUUCUAUGAUGCGUAUAACCGAUUUUUGUGUGAUUAACCUCUCUCAUUAUCUUCCACUUUUUCAUGGUGUUUAUGACUUGUUUGAGGAAUCACACUUGAGGUGUUAAGCUCUUGAAAGGCCAACAACUACAAGCUACAAAUAAGAGGUAUUCUUCUCACUAGUUUUAUGAUUCAUGUACCAAAUUUGUAUGCUACAUAGGUUUCAUGCUUUGGAUAAUUUUUCGUUGCAUGUAUAACUAGAGAAAACUUAGAUCCAAAGCAUUAGGGUUAUAUGUGCACCAUAGGAGUGUUAUAGUACAUAUAACCCAACAGUGGUAUCAGAGUCGUGGGUAGUUUUAUGUUAUAUGGAUGCAUUGUUUAAUUGUUCAAAGUUGAAAAACCUAAAAAAUUGUUGUUUGACUGCUGGAAUUGAUGAGUCCCAUGAGUGGACUCGACGAGUUGGCUCACAUGAACAUGAACUCGACGAGUCCAUAGCCUGGCUCGACAAGUUGGAUCAUUAGAUGGCAGUUUUUUCAAAUUUUUUUGUCUGUUUUGGAUUAGGAUCAUUACCAAAAAAGUUUUGGCCAUAAAAUUUUACUGAUAUGGUAAUGAUUGUCCCCAUCCAAUAACAUGAUGAUUGUCAAAUUCUAAGAUAAUUACUUGAUUUUGUGAAAAACUAAUUAUUUGUAGAAUUUGAAAUUAUCUUGCCAUAUUAAUUUAAUUAGUUCAAACUAGUAAAUGAUAAAAAUUAUAUGAUUAUUUAAUUAGUUUAAAAUUUGAACUAAAUGGAUUGAAGAGUUUCAUAACUUGACCUCAAGUUAUGGAACUUAAAAAGUCUCUUUUUAUGAAUAAAGAGAGUUAUAUAAACUUGUCAUCAAGUUUUGGAACUCAAAAGUUUUUUAAGGAGUUACAAAACUUGCCAUCAAGUAUGGAAUUCAAUAGUUUUUGAAUUAAGUUUUGGAAGUUGGAAAGUUUAAUUAAAAGGUUUUAAUUUGAAAUAUUGACUUCUAAAACAUCUAGUAAUUGAAAGGUUUUAAAAAGGUUCAUAACUUAAAAAAAUAAUUAAAUAGUUUUUAACUUUGAAUUUUUAUAACCUUGAUGCUUUGAAUGGUUCAAUUACACAUUAUGGACUUUAUUAAAUUGAUUAAAGUUUUAAUUAAAAGAGAAUUAAUAAAUCCAUAAUCAUAUGGUUUAAUGUUAACUAAAUUAAAAGUUUAAUUUAUUAAUAGAUUAAACCACCUAGUAUUUUAAAAGUGUAAAAUGCACUCUUAUACUAUAUAAAAUUAAAAGUUUAGUAUAUUAUAUUUGUAUAAGUAAAAAAGUUAGUCUUAUCGUUAGUAGGCCCCAUUCACGAAGCUGGUCUAUAAGGGGUGUUUAAGGCAGCGACUUGUAAAAUGACCGCCAUUAGGUAUCCAUUCUUACCCACCGCACCCUUGACCAGUGGAGGGUUGUUAGCCGAACAGGUAGGGUAGGACCCAACUUCCAUUAAAAGUAUAAUGAAAUACCAAGUAACUAAAUACAUUUAUAAAUUCCCAAUCUUAGUUACUUAGGAAAAUAUGUGAAUUUGAUGCUAACCCAUGAAAUUGCACAUUGCACCUUAUUAGUCGUUAGUGGAGCGUGUGUGGUUAACUGACACACUAAUAUGAGACUAAUGAAGGAUGGCAGUGGGUAGCUCGUAGUUUGUCAUAAAUCAAUGGAGCGUGUGUGGUUAACCAACACAUUGAUUAAUUGAUAAAUGACUUCGAGAGUGCCAAGCUAAUUUGCAUGGUUAUUUACAUCUUGUUUGUGAUCCUCGGCAUCCCAGUCACAAACUUGACGGGCAUAAUCGAGAUUAAACAUGCCAGUGAAAAAGUUCAAUGAAUCUCAAAGAAUGUAGGAAUUUCAAUUCAUUUAAAACCUAAUGCUCUUUUUCAUUUUUCAUGGUGGAAAUUGGUAAAUCGUCAUUUACCUACCUUCAAAUAUUUAACAAUUGGAUUACGACAUCCCUCUUCCGAAUUGUAGAAUACUGUGUUUGGUCCUAUUCUUAAUAUUUCAUUUUGGGUGUUAUAUUAAGGACUUAAAUCAACUAACUUUAAUUUCUCCCCUUAUAGAUGUCUAGGUCUAACAACUAUGGUCUGCCUUAUCCUAUUAGAAAAAGCUUUCAACAUGAAGAUGAUAUUCCACAAUAUCAUACAUCACUUCCUUGACCUCCUCCAAUAAUUCUCCCUGACCCACAUGUUCAUCGACUUGAAAAAUUCAAGGUCACUCAAAACCUAUUGGCAAACGAACACGAAGAUGGAAAGUAUGUAUGUGCUCACGUAUUGGAGAAGAAGUUGCAUAUUGGCAGGCUGGGAAUGUUGGGUGUCGUUUUCCUGAGAAAGUUGGCUGUUAAAUUGGUUCUUUAGUCUCUUCCCGACUCGUAUGUUCAGUUUGUUAAAGACUACUAUAUGACAGAUCGCGACGUGACCCUUAUUUAUCUUACCUAUUUACUAAUUGCUACACCGGUAAAGCAAAUUUGAUUGGAAGAUCUACUUCUUAAACUUCCAUGGACAUUGACAAUGGAAACAUUGGAAGUCAAGAAAAGAUUUCUCUUCCCAAUGAAAAGUCCAAGGUUAAAACGUUUGACCAAAUGGUAAAGAGAAAGGCUAAGUAUGUGAUUGUCCUGUGUGCCAUUCCAAAAGAAUCUGUUUGCUUCUAUUGCCAAGAGAAGGGGCUUUGGAUGUGAAGCUGCCAUAUUUACCUGAAAAACCACAAGGAUGGUAAAGUCAAAGUGUUUGACUCUGCUUCAGCUAAGUACACUAUCUAACUCUAUUAAGUUCCUAUUUCUAGAUUCUUCAUACAUGAUGUGAUAACAUUACAUUUUGAUGUUUUGAAGGAUCGAAGAAGAGAAAGGAAGUGUUAAGAAAGAGCAGGCCGAGUCUGAUCGCGAAGAGAUAGAUUUUGAUUGCAUGAUUCAAUGAUCAGAACCAUGAGCUGCUACUUAAGAGUUAUGAUAGAUUGCUUAGAAAUAUGUAACAACAUAGUUUUCAUAUGUAUUUUCAUUGUAAGGACAAGUUUUCCGCAUUUUAUAAAUAAAAAUAAUUUGAUUUUAUCUUAUUUAAUAUUUCCUUGCAAUGACAUUUGUGAAAAUUGAUGUUUGUAUGUUUCUAUUUUUCGCAAUAUGGAUUUGAUUCUUUCAUUUGUGGUAGUGUCAAAAUUUACCAAAUAAGGAAAGAUUUUCAUCACCAAAGUUUCAAUUGGACAAAAACUUUGAAUCAUGCAACUUGUAUUUUAUGAUGAAUGAGAACCUUCAACUAUGGAAAAUUAAGACUAAUUCCUUAUUCACAUAUAGAUGUGAGUCAAGUGAAAGACUAGGGAAUCUAGUAUAAAUUGUUGUGUACUGGUCCAGGUCAACCACAAGGAACAAUAAGACUAUUCAUCAUGAUUUACUAAUGUUUGUAAAUAUGGUUAUACUUACAAGAUUAAGUGUAAUUCUGAAUUAUUGAAAAAGUUUCUCCAAUCUGAAAGGAAAGAAGAGUACUCUAGUAUCGUGUUUUAUGAUCAUCUUAAUGAUUAUGAAAACCAUAUCACAAUUGAUCCUCUAAGGACAUGUUAGUGCACUUGUAUGGCUAAGAAGAGGAAUCGUGAAUUGUUGAAAUGGUUAAAUAAAAAAGGUGAAUCAUACUUCGUUCCAAGAUCAAGUCUUAGAGUCGUACUCCAAGAUUGUACAUUUAGUGACGUAUCCUAAGUAGGUUUAUAACGCAUCAUGAAAUGUGGAGUAGAAAAGUUUUCUUAAUCAGGCACAUUUGUAAUUGGUAGUAGUGAUGUCAAGGAAUCCGCACUAACUCUUGAAUAUUUGUUUGUCAAGGAAUGUUUCCUGACAAGAGAAUCUUAUAUGUCAAGAGGUCAGUGGGAGUAUUAAAGACCUUGACAAUCUUCAAGAACAAAUCAAGAAAAAAAAACCUAUUGUUAAUCACUAGCACACGACUUGAGGUUUGUAACCUAUCGUGUUGAUAUAUUCUUGUUUUUUUUCCCAUUCCAGUUAAAGUUGACUAUGCAUGUGAGUUCUAUGAGUUCUCAAUUGCUUGCAUAAGGUAAAGCACCUUGAUCAGUGAAAGUUCAUUAAUCAGUAAAGGUGAGCUGCUUAACAACUUGGAAGACAUGGUAGGCCCUUGUGCUGCCAAGUGGCAAGAAAUUAAGAUUAAACAAGUUUAGUCCAUAUGAGGUUGAGUUUGUCAGAGACCUUAUCCUAUGAUAAUGGUUGGAAAUAACAAAUUCACAUGGAUAGGAACACAUACAUCAUAAAAUCUAAGUGACAUAAGGUUUCUCUCCGAAUUCAUAAAAAUGAUUGUGAUGAAACGCUUUCACUAAGUAGAUUUUAAGAAGAUACCAGUUGUGUUAGUUGCAUUCUCGAAUUCAAUUAUGAUUACAACAUCCCUCUUCAUAGUUCAAAUUGUGAGAAAUGGAAAAUAGUUUGAACAUUCAGAACUUAUUGAUGUAAGUUCUGAAAUAGUUUAGACACACAUAUGAUCUUUCUAAUAAAAGGUGUAUGAGCUUAGAUAAAGGCUUAUCGAAGCAUCUCGUAUCAGAAAUCUGAACUUUGGUAAGAAAAUCAAUAAAGUAUUGAUUUCUAGAAGUCCAACUGAUUUCUGGAUACAUGUCAAAGAUAGUGGGAGCAUAAGUGUUACGCUAGUAAGAAUAUAAUUAUCAUGAUAGUGGGAGCAUGAUUAUUAUGUCAAGUGUUGCAAGUUAGCAAUACUGGUUAUAGGAAACAAAGGUUAAGAAUUUGUAGAGUUGCAAAAAAUUUGAAAAGUUGUUUCGCUAUAGUAAGGGAGAGGAUACUUAUACUUUAUUUUGAAUCUAAAAGUUUAGAUUCAAGUAUUAAUCAAACUUAGUCAUGGAUAUAUGAAUACCAUGUUGAAAUAUUUCAACAUUGGAAAUUCUAUAUAUGGAAAUAUUAUAGCAAAGACUGGUCAUGUAUCAUGUCUUUAUGUAAGACAUUAUGAAUCAUGUUCGAUAUGCUUCGAGUAUAGGAUCGAUUGCAUAUGCUAUAAUAUUCAUCUAUUCUAAUUUUCCAAAUGCCUAGGGCAUGUAGAGGGAAAAGGGACCAUAAAUAGUUAUAACUGAAAGUUAUUAAACAACUAUUAAGGACAAUCCAAGGUUCGCUAAGGACCAUGAUUCUAUUUAUAAUGAAUUUUCAUAUGGCAUAUUUGGAAAUGUUUCCAUAAUGGGAGUUCGAUAUCAAGAAUCUAUGAGUAAGUUAGAAACUUUUAUGCUAGAAGGAUGUUCAAAUGAAUGUGAUUUGAAUAUAAGACUUCAUAUAUAUGGAAUUGUCUUGUAAUAGUUUCCAUUGGAAAGUUUUGUAAUUGGCAAAAUAUAUGUGACUUGUGUACAUAGUCGUUACAAAAGGAUCACUGCAUAUAAGCUUAAGAUCUAACAGAUUACAGUAAUUGGCAAGGACUUGGUAUUCUUACACUUGCGAUAAGGAUUUGGAAUUUUGAAAUGAGUGUCAUUAGAAAUUUUUACAAUUGAUCUAUUUCAUAAUGUAAGGACCAUAGGUAAACAUAGUGUGCAUGCUUGGAGCAUGGGAUGACUAUUGUUUUAAAUUCAAGUAUUAAGUUGAUCAAUCGAAACAUUAUACAAUGAAUAAUGUGUAAUCAAUAUUAUGAUUAAAUAAAAGGUGUUUUAUUUAUAUUCAAAAGUUUUGAGACCAUAUUGGAUUCGAUUAUUCUUGUGUUUUAUUUUCGCAUGCUUUGACUUCCCGAAUAAUAAGAUUAUUCAAACCAUCCACAGUCGAUCAUACUUUGGAAGUAGGUAUUAAGGCAAGACUGUCAUGAAUUCGUCUGUAGAUUGUCUAAGUGUUAAAUAUAGCACAAGUUUACUGCAUUAUUCAUGAGUACUCUUGUAAUCAGAUUUGAGUAUUGGAUUAAAUCCAUGCUUAUCUGAAUUACUUCAUGGAUUUUUUCAUGAGUGAUUCUGAGACGAUAAUAUCUUAUAUUCUUGAAACAAAUACAUAUGAGUUGUAGUUUGCAAGUCGGUUGCACAUUGAUGAUGGGUAAACGCACCAGUAACUUGGUGUUAUAAAACGUAUUGUUGUGUGUGAUUUGAUGAGUAAAUAAAGCAAGCAUAUGAGUCGAAGUUUAUCCGUUCCUUUUACCCUAAGAAGGAUAAAAGCGAUAUUUAUGGGCCCCUCGAUGAUUUAGUGAUGAAAAAUGUAGCACCUGGUUCCUGGUAUGUAAAAUUUAUCUAAAUGUUUUGCAUUUUUAGCCUUGGGCUCGGCGAGUUGUAGGCCCGACUCGCCGAGUAGAGACGGGAGAUGGAGCACGUUUAAGUUGGCGACUCGGCGAGUCCCCGCUGUCUGAUGAAACCCUAAUUUCAAGGGUUUGGACCCUAUUAAAGUCAUCUUAUGCGCCCCCAAGCUCGCCCCCUUCACCCUCAAAGCUCCCUUUAUCGUCCAACCCUUGUUCCUUGUGAGAUUGAAGUGCUUUGGUGUGUUUUCUUGAAGAUUUUGAGAGAAAAGGAGAGUAGAUCAAGAAGAGAAGAAGGAGGCCAGACAUCUUGGUGUUAUUUCAGUGAUUUCUUUGAGGUAUAACUCAGUUUCACUUUGUUUUCAUGCUUAUAGUCCCUUAUAGCUCCAUUAAAGUCCUUCUUGAGCCAUUUCCAAGAUUGAUUAUGAAUUAAGGUUGGUAAUAAGUUGAUUAACCUUUAGAUCUAAGCAUGAUUGAGCUCCAGGAGCUCGGAUCUACUGCCUUUAUGGAGCCAUAUUGCAUGAAAGACCUAGAUCUACUCUUUUAGUGCAUUUUGAGCCCUAAAACCUUCAUUGGUGUUUAUUUACACGUAAAGUUGGAAACUUUACGUGUUAAUCAAGCCCUAGAAACCCAUAUCUAGGUAUGGCAUGAGCUGGAUUUAAGCAAAAUCAAGUAUAUAGUUUUUGCAUGUGAUAGACUCGGCGAGUCGAGUUGCGAGUCCCCGAGUUUUCCCCCUUUUCAUGUUUGCGGAGUGGAGUAGUAAGUCACGGGGUGUGACUCAGUGAGUCAGAAGCUAGACUCACCCAUGAAGGAACUCGGCGAGUCAAUGCCCUGACUCAGCAAGUCCAAGGCAAUCUUCUUGCCUCAAGAACAGACUCGGCGAGUUGUUCAUACAACUCGGCGAGUCUCAGCAUAGAAUGUUCUUCGGAUGAAGAUGAACUCGACGAUUUGUUCAUACAACUCGGCGAGUAGGAUGAAGGACUAUUGGACAUCGGUUAGAAGAAAACUCGUCGAGUCAAUGCCUAACUCGACGAGUAGAGUUGGCAAGCCAACUCGGCGAGUCGGGUCAACUGGAAGUUGACUUUGACUUUGACUCUUGGCUUGGUUAGGGGUAAAUGGUCAUUUUACCCUGAGGUCGGCUAGCAGUAUUUGACUGAGUGUUUUGUGGGAAUUAUAGCCGGAGGAUUUUCGGGGCAGCAGCAGUAGAAGACAGUCAGUUCCCAUGCAGAUCAGCAGCUACUUUGAGGUGAGUUACCUUCCAGUAGCGGUCGGUCUACGGCCACAAUGCCGGCCCACCAGUAGGAAUUGUAUGAUAGAAGUUUGACUCUGUGAUAUUCAUCUAGGGUUGCUACUACCUGUGAUAUGUUAUUGUGCUAGUAUGAUAUGAUGCUAUGUGCUAGUGACAGUAGGGGAGAUAGUCCUCCAGAUUACCGGUCGAUAGGGCCGAAGGGGCGGUCAUGCCCAGCCAUGCUAGAUAAAUUAUGUGAUAUAUGUGUUAUGUGGUAGUAUUAGGGGGUGAAAUAGUCCCCAGUACCCGGUCGAGAUGACCGAAGGGGAGACCAGCACCCAGAUAUGCUAGUUAGUAUCCGGUCAAGAGGACCGAAGGGGAGGCCAGCUCCCAGAUAUACUAGUCAGUAUCCGGUCGAGAGGACCGAAGGGGUAGGUCGGGCACCCAGAUAUGCGUGACAAUAUAUGUAUGUUAUGUGAUUGUAUGGUAUGUGGUAUGUUGGGGGAACUCACUAAGCUUCGUGCUUACGGUUUACAGUUCUGGUUUCAGGUACCUCUUCUUCGAAGGGGAAGGAGCUGGCGCGGUAGCGGCACAUCACAUACAUGCUUUGUAUUCCGCACUAUGAGAUCUUCCUGGGGAUUUGUACUCUGACAUUGUUAUGUUUUAUAAAACGUUUUCCAAACACGCAACAUCUUUUAUGAAAUGAUAUGAUCGGUAAAUUUUUUACUCCUAAUGUUUUGCAAAGUAUAUGUUUAAAAAUGGAUUUUUUUGGCUCGUAUUUUGGGAUGUUACAAAAACCCUAAGCGCUUGGCCAAGCCUGGACUGAUUUGAUUUAUUCAAUUAGUUGGUCGUCAUAACUCGAAAAUUGGGAAACAACACAUGGACAUAGAGACUGAUUAUAAUCCAUGCCUCAUGUCCAUACGAUAUCUAGAAUGGAGGAACAUAUGAUCCCUUAUCUUAUGGAUGCGUCAUUGAAUAGGUUAGAGAUCGACAACGAAUUUUGAGAGCUACAAUUGCUAGUCGGUUUUUGAAGUUGUACUUGCAGUUAUAGUUAUUAGACUUAUCCAAGUGGGAGAAUGUUGGAUUAGGUGUCUAAGCCCAUAACUAUAAUUGGUAUGUACUUGACCCGAGAGUAACAUGGCCCAUUUUGGGUUGCCUUCACCAAAACAAGUUGACAAGAUGGGUAUUUGAGAAAGAUGUUAUUUGUGAUUUAUUAAUGUAUUAUAAGAAUAAUAUAUUAAUUGAGAAAUGAGAAAUCAUAUUAUUUAAUUAGUAUUGAUCAAGAAUUAAUUUAGUGAUCAGAAUAGACUAAUUAAACUAAUGGGGACUGAUUAUGUAAAUCAAUGAUACAUAUGGAUUGGUCUAUUGAUCCAUGAUGGAAUAAGUUUAUAUGAGAGUCCAUGAAGAGUUAGUCUAUAUGAGUUACGGGAUCAUAAGCCUAAGUGUAAGAAUUAGGGUUUGCAUAUGACUCUUGGAAUUCUACACUAUAUAUGUAUUCCCUAAACCCUAAAAUCAUUACUAGUGUAUUCCAUGAUGAUUAUAACUGAUUUUUGUGUGCUUAACCUCUCUCAUUAUCUUCCACUUGUUCAUGGUGUUUGUGACUUGUUUGAGGCAUCACACAUGAGGUGCUAAGCUCUUAUAAUGCCAACAAAUACAAGCUACAAAUAAGAAGUAUUCAUCUAACUAGUUUUAUGAUUCAUGUACCAAAUUUGUAUGCUAGAUAGGUUUCAUGCUUUGGAUAAUUUUUUGUUGCAUGUAUAACUAGAGAAAACUUAGAUCCAAAGAAUUAGGGUUGUAUGUGCACCAUAUGAGUGUUAUAGUACAUAAAACCCAACAACUACUACGUUACAUCUAGUGAUGAAUUCAGUAGAUAUGAUUAUGUUUAUCUAAUUAAACAUAAGUAAAAAACCUUUAAAAAGUUCAAAGAGUUUUAGAACGAAGUAGAGAAUCAAGUGGACAGGAAGAUAAAGGAUCUUCCUGUCCAAGAUAAAGGAUCUUCGAUCGAUAGGGGAAAAGAAUAUCUUAGUAUUGAGUUUCACAAUAAUAUUAAAAAUUGUGGAAUAGUCUCACAAUUAGCUCCUACAAAAUACCUCAUCUAAAUGGUAUUUCUAAAAGGAUAAAUUGGACCUUAUUAGAUAUGGUUCGAUAUAUGAUGAGUCUUGAUUCUUUACCAAUUAAUUUUUGGGGCUAUGCAAAUGAGAUAAUUUCUCAUAUCCUAAACCCUGUACCAACUAAUAAGGUUUGAAAGACACCUCAUGAAACAUGGACACUAAAAGUUCCUCUUCUUAAUCACAUUAAGGUAUGGGGUUAUGAGGUUUUCGUUCAACGUGAUACCCAAGACACAAUUGAAUCUAGAUCUAAGAUAUCUCACUUUGUCUGUUAACCACAAAAGUAUUUUGGAUAUUUGUUUUAAAAACCCAAUGAAAAUGUGGUUUUUGUAUCUCUAAGAGGAGUAUUCCUUGAGGGAGAACUUAUAUAUCAAAAGGUUAGUGGGAGUCAAAUUGACCUUGAGGAAUUACAAGAUUUAACUGAAAGUGAGCCUAUAGUUGGCAAUAGCUGUCAACCAGAGGUUAAAAGACCUAUUGAACCAAAUGACAUAUCGUUACCUCUUCACAAAUUAGUAGAGUUAUACAAUGACUCAAGUUUUAUGGUUUACAUAUAACUAUGGAUGAGGACACACUGAUCAGUGAUAGAACACAUGUCAAUCUGGAUGAGUCGGCUAACUACAAGGAAGAAACAGUGGUCCUUGAGGCUGCAUAGUGGAAUAAGGCAAUGGAGAAAAAGAUUCAAUCCAUGAUAGAUAACCAAGUUUGGAAUUUGGUUGAUCUGACAUCUGGUCUUAAGAUAGUGGGUUGCAAAUGGAUCUUCAAAAGGAAAAUUACAUGGAUGGGAAUGUACACACAUUCAAGGCUAGGUUGGUGGACAAAGGUUAUACUCAAACUCAAGGAAUUGAUUAUGAGGAAAUGUUCUCACUAAUAGCCAAGAUAAAUUCUGUUCAGAUACUACUUGACAUAACUGCUUUUCCAUACAAUGAAAUUUCGCAAAUGGAUGUUAAAACAACAUUCCUUAACGGGAAACUUUCAUAGGAUAUGUACAUGACAAAAAUUGAAGGGUUUUAACAUGCCAAAUUCUCGAAUAGAGUGUGUAAGCUUGAGAAGUCAAUUUAUUGACUUAAGCAAGCAUCACGAAGCUAGAAUCUAUGCUUACACAUGAAAGUCAAAGUGUAUGACUUUACAUGAGAUGGAAAACGUAAAAGCUUGGCUUGGGAAGGUUUUUUUUCUAUGAAAGACUAAGGAGAAGUGGAAUACAUACUUGGUAUAAAGUUUUACGGGGACAGGAUGAAGCGUUUAAUUGGACUUAGUCAAAUUACAUAUGUGGAAAAGGUAUUUAAAAGGUUUAGUAUGGAAAUUCCAAGAAAGGAGAUAUUCUUAUGCAUCAUAGUGUGAAAUUGAAUUCUAGUAGUGAACUAGAAAGAAUUAGUUGAGUCUCGUAUGCUUCAUCUAUAGGAUCAAUCAUGUAUGCUAUGGGAUGUACUCGUCUUAAUGUGACAUAUGCUCUAAACAUGGUAAGUUGAUAUCAAGGAAAAUCGGGACUUAGUCGUUGGACGGCUGUCAAGAUCAUUCUUAAGUAUUUAAGAAAUACGAAAGACAUAUUGCUUGUAUACGAUAGAGAACUUGAUCUUAUACUGAAAAGGUACAGUGAUGCUACUUUCCAAUCAGAUAGGGAUGAUUCAAAGUCAUGGUAUAGAUGGGUAUUUAUUAUGAAUGGUGGUGUAGUAACUUAGAAAAGUUAUGAAUAGGAGACAGUGGCAGAUUUUAUCUACGAUUAUAAAUACAUUGCUCCAAGUGAAGCCUCCAAGGAAGUAGUUUAGAUCAAAAACUUAUUGGGAGACCUUGGAGUCAUUCCAAGUAACAAAGAUUCAUUCCAAAUGCUCUAUGAUAACGAAGGUGCAAGCGCUAUGACUAAAGAACCUAGGGAUCACAAAAGGUCACAACAUAUAAUGAGGAAGUUCCACUAUAUUUAAGAAAAAGUUGAGGAUGAAGAUCUAGUUGUGAAGCGUGUAUCAUCAUAGGAGAACCCAAGUGGUAUGUUCACAAAAUGGAUGACCAAAGAUAGACAUAUGUGUUGGAAUAAUGUCUAAGGUUGCAAUUAUAUUAGGCAAGUAUUUGACCCGGUUGUGCAUGGUCCUUUUGGGUUGCCUUCACCAUAGCAACUUGAUAGGAUGAUUUAUUAAGAGAGAGUAAAUAUUAUUAGUAUAUUAUGAGAAUAAUAUAAUGAAUAAUAAUAUUGUUAUUUGAUUAAUAUAAGUCAUAGAAUUAAUUGGAAUUAAUUUGGUGACUUAAAGAGAUUAAUUAAAUAAGAGGGUAUAAACUGUCAAUUGUUUGAUAGUUAAACUUUAGACUGUAAAUCCAUAUAGAUAUGGAUUGGGCGGAUUCUAGGAGCUAAAUGAUAGCUCAAAUCAUCCAAGAGUUAUCUAAGGAAUGGAUUUGGAUAGCCUUAAGAGAAGAUUAUCCAAUUAGGGUUUAGGUUGUAACCCUUAAGGAGUCUACAAGUAUAAAUAGACCCCAUGGCUAAGGGAAAUCGGUACUUCACCUAAAGUAGAGAAGCCCUGGCCGAAUUCCUCCCCUCUCCUCUCUCCCAAAUCAUCCUCCUUGAUAUUUGGUGUUUGUAAGCCAUUAGAGGAGUGACAAUUGUGACUCUAGAAGCUCCAAGACAACAAGAUCAACAAGGAAUUCAAAGGUAUGAUUCUAGAUCUGUUUCAAUAUUGUUAUUACACCUAAAUAGUCAUUAGAAGUCUUGGAUUCAAAGCAUGUUUAAUUAGAAAGCCUAGAUCCAAGCAUUAGGGUUUUGCAUGCGCACAUAGGAAAGUUCUUAUGGCUAAAACCCAUCAGUGGUAUCAGAGCCUAGCUUGGUUUUCAUUAAAUUGUUGCUUAAUUGUCUGAAACUAAACUGCAAAAAUCGAUUUUUGUGUUUCUGAGUCAUGGACUUGGCGAGUUACAAAGUGGACUCGGCGAGUUGGCCUGACUCGGCGAGUACCUUUGUGCACUCGGCGAGUCCAAGCGUCAGGAAUAGCCAGAUUCGGGAUUUCUUCAUGAUUAUCUUAUGGAAACUUACCUUAAUCAUAUUAGAUCAACCCUAAUCCGAUUUUUUGAUAUAUAUGACUAUAAUCUUGAUCUAAUUAAAGAUAUUUAUCAACUAAUAAAAUAUUUAAUUUCCUUAUAUGAUAAUUAAUUAAUUAUUUUGAUUAUUUUGGUAAUUAUCUUUAAAAGAAAUCUUGAAUAAAUCAAAUAUAGAUAAUUAGGAUAUUAAUUGUUAAUUGGAAUUAUUUGUUAUUUGAUCCUCCAUGUUUUAAAUGUUUAAAACCUACCCUCAUGUUUUGAAAUUUACUUUUGUGAUUAAAAGUUUUAAUUUAGACAACUUAAAUUUCAAACCCUAGAUUUUAAAAGUUUUAAAAUACAACCCUAUACUAAUAUGAUAUUACUAGAAUAAUAUAUAUAUGUAUAACUAAAUGCUAGUCUUACCGUUAGUAGGCCUCAUUCACGAAGCCGAUCUAUAAGGUGGGUAUAAGGUUGCGGCCUAUAAAAUGGCGCUUAAUGGGUGUACACUCACACCCACCGCUUGCUUGAUUGGUGGAGGGUCGUUAGCCGAACGGGUAGGAUAGGGCAACCUCAUCCUCUCAUUAAAAGUAUAAUAAGAAAUAUAAAGUAACUACACAUUUUUUUAAAAUUUCCCAAUCCUAGUUACUUUAGGAAAAGUGAAUUGAUGCAAUCCCAUGAAAUUACACUUUGCACCUUGCUAAGAUGUUAGUGGAGCGUGUGUGGUUUACCGGCACACUAAUUGGUUCUAAGCGAAGGUGGCAAAGGGUGAUUCAUUGUUUAUCAUAGUUCGAUGGAGCGUGUGUGGUUUACCGGCACAUCGAAUAGGUGAUUGUUACAAUGAAGGCACCAUGUGAAUUUGCAUGGUAAUUCACACCCGCUUUGUGAUCCUCGGCAUCCCAGUCACAAACAAGAGGGGCAUAUCGAGAUUUAAACAUGCCAUUGAAUAGUUUCAAUGAAUCUCAUCCGAACCUAGGAAUUCUCAAAAACACUUAGGACUAAUAGUUUAAGUUUUGUGAUGGAGAAUUAGUGAAUCGUCAUUCACUUACCUUCAAUUUAUUUGCAUGUUAGAUUACGGCAUCCCUUUUCUAGUAUGUAAAUGUUAUUGUUGGAUCCUAGCCCUAAUUUUCUUAUUGGGUGAUAAUUAGGGAUUCUUAUUCUAAUCUAUCUUUGUCCUUUUCUAAUUGUAGAUGUCGAACGCAAACAACGCUGCUGCUAGUUCUUUCACGUUGAUGAGCCUUUGCCAAAAGGUCACCUUCGAUGGAACGAACUUUAGCGAAUGGAUAAGAUACAUUCGCACCAUUGCUCGCUAUGAGGAUAAGGAGUAUGUCCUCGAUGAGAAGCUCGAGAAAAUCAACCCCGAAAUUGCUACUCCCGCCGAAAUCACCGCCUUUGAAACUCAUGAGCGAGAUGCAACGAAGGUACAUUGCAUCAUGAUCGCCACCAUGAACUCCGAAUUCCAAAAGUCCUACGAGGACAUGUACCCGUACGAGAUGCAUCAAGACUUAUUGGAGAGGUACCACCAAAACGCGAGACAAGAGAGGUACGAGAUUUUCACUAACAUGAUUUCCGCGAAGAUGGGUCAUGGAGAAUCUCUUACCGUGCACUUGCAAAAGAUGCAAAGGUAUGUUGACCGCCUCCGCAAGUUAAAUGUUGACUUCGGUGAAGACUUGGCGAUCGACAUGGUGCUUCACUCUUUGCCUCCGAUGUACAACCAAUUUAGGAUGACCUACCACAUGAACAAAGAAGAGGUCACCCUAAGCAAGCUCCAAGGUCUCUUGAGGGUUGCUGAGAGCAACUUCAAAGACAAGUCUGUUGCACCUACUCCCAAUCCGCCCGCUGCUCCUGUCUUGGCUAUUGGACAAGGGAAGGGAAAGAAGAGGAAAGCUUCAUCGAAGAACUAUCGCAAGGUGAAAGCCCGAGAUGGUGCCUCUUCUAGUGGGACCAAAGUUGAUCCCGCCAAGCCCUGCUCUAACCCGAAGGAGGCAGAGUGCCACCACUGCCACAAGAUAGGACAUUGGAAGAGAAGCUGCCCGGAUUACCUGCAAGCAAUCAAAGAAGGAAAGAUCAAGCCAUCUUUCGCAGGUAUAUAUACAAUCAAAUCUAACGAUUCUAAUCAUGCUAUUUCUUGGGUUCUUGAUACCGGUUGUGGUUAUCACAUUUGUUCUAAUGUGCAGGGACUAAGAAGAAGUAGGGAUGUGGAGCAAGGAAGGAUCAAUCUAAUCAUGGGGAACAGAAGAUCGUCGCCUGUGACCAAGAUUGGAGUGUAUUCCUUAGUGCUUAGGAAUAGUUUAGUUUUAGAUUUGAACAAUUGUUGCUAUUCGCCAGAAAUGGCAAGAAACAUCAUUUCAUUUCAUGGUUUAUAUAGACAAGGAUUUAGAUUUUCUUUUAAUAAUGAGAAUGGUUCUAUUUUGGCUUAUCUAAAUGGUGUCUUUUACUUUGAAGCUAUACCAUGUAAUGGAAUAUAUGAAACCGUUAUGAUUGUUGAUAACUUAGGAAAUGAUGUUUUGAAUAUUGAUUCUUCCACUAGUAUGGAUAAAGCAUCCUUGUGGCAUUGUCGUCUUGGACAUGUCAACAAGAAACGCAUAGCCCAACUCCAAAAGGAUGGAGUGUUGGAGUCAUUCGACCUUAGGGAAGAUGACACAUGCGAGUCUUGUUUGCUUGGAAAGAUGACUAAGUCACCCUUCACGAGUACAUGUGAAAGGGGCGAGGGUCUAUUGGACCUAAUACAUACCGAUGUAUGUGGACCGUUUAGAUCAACCACGAAGGAUGGGAACCGCUUCUAUGUGACUUUUACCGAUGACUAUAGUAGAUAUGGGUAUAUCUACUUAAUCAAGCAAAAGUCAGAAACCUUUGAAAAGUUCAAAGAGUUCAAGAAUGAAGUGGAGAAUCAAUUGGGCAGGAAAAUCAAGAUGCUUCGAUCCGAUCGAGGAGGAGAGUACCUAAGUCUUGAAUUCCACGAUUAUCUCAAGGAGUGUGGAAUAGUUUCGCAAUUGACGCCUCCUAGGACACCGCAGUUGAAUGGUGUGGCAGAAAGGCGUAAUCGAACCUUAUUGGAUAUGGUUCGCUCUAUGAUGAGUCGUGCUUCACUACCUAUCUCUUUUUGGGGGUAUGCCUUAGAGACUGCCGCCCAUAUCCUUAACCGAGUCCCUACUAAGAAGGUUGCCAAAACACCUCACGAGAUGUGGACAGGGAAAGCUCCCUCGUUGGCACAUAUCAAGGUUUGGGGUUGCGAGGCUUUCGUAAGACGAGAUACUCACGACAAGCUUGAACCUCGAAGUGAGCGAUGUAUUUUCAUCGGCUACCCGCAGACAUCCUUUGGAUAUCUCUUCUAUAGACCGAAGGACAAUGUUGUCUUCGUUGCGAGGAGAGGAGUUUUCCGAGAGCGAGAACUCAUAAGCCAAGGAGACAGUGGGAGGCAAAUCGAGCUUGAAGAGAUUCAAGAGUCGAUAGAUGAAGGAACCUCUACCGCUGGCACUCAACCCGAGGAGGAAACUCCGGUUGAACCGAUUGACGAAUCCUUACCUCUUAGACGUUCCGAUAGAGUUAGAGUUCAACCCCAGUUUUAUGGUUUUCAUAUUACUACCGAAGGGGACACGUAUAUUAGUGAUGGUACACUAAUAAAUCUUGAUGAACCUAAUAGCUAUAAGGAAGCCAUGGCAGGCCCGGAGUCUGCAAAAUGGAAAGAGGCAAUGGAUAGCGAGAUCCAAUCCAUGUAUGAUAACCAAGUUUGGAAUUUGGUUGAUUAUGUGCCCGGACGUAAGACCGUUGGGUGCAAAUGGAUCUUCAAGAAGAAGACCGACGUGGAUGGAAACGUACACACAUAUAAAGCGCGAUUGGUUGCGAAGGGCUUUACUCAAACUCCCGGAGUUGACUAUGAUGAGACCUUCUCACCAGUUGCGAAGAUUAAAUCUAUUAGAGUGAUGCUAGCAAUUGCCGCAUUUCAUGAUUAUGAGAUUUGGCAAAUGGAUGUCAAGACCGCUUUCCUUAACGGAAAGUUGGCUGAGGAUGUUUACAUGGCUCAGCCAGAGGGGUUUGUGGAUCCGAAGCAUCCGAAUAGAGUGUGUAAGCUUGAGAAGUCCAUUUAUGGACUUAAGCAAGCGUCUCGCAGAUGGAAUCUUUGCUUCGAUGAGAAAGUCAAAGAGUUUGGAUUUGUACGAAGCGAAGACGAAUCUUGUGUAUAUGUCAAAGCCAGUGGGAGUAUAGUAAGCUUCCUCGUUCUAUAUGUCGAUGACAUAUUACUCAUAGGAAACGACAUCCCGACUCUGCAGGAGGUUAAGUCCUGGCUCGGGAAGUGCUUCGCUAUGAAGGACCUCGGAGAGGCUUCUUACAUUUUGGGAAUAAGGAUAGUAAGAGAAAGAAGUAAGAGACUAAUUGGACUUAGUCAGAAUACUUACUUAGAGAAGGUACUAAAACGUUUUAGUAUGGAAAACUCAAAGAAGGGAGAACUACCGAUACAAAGUAAUGCCAAAUUGAGUAAGACUCAAAGUCCGAGUACCGAAGCUGAGAUAGCAGAAAUGAGCCGAGUACCAUACGCUUCCGCAGUUGGCUCAAUCAUGUACGCUAUGACUUGUACUCGCCCUGAUGUAGCCUUCGCUUUGAGCAUGGUUAGCAGAUAUCAAGGGAAUCCUGGCAGAGCACAUUGGAUUGCGGUGAAGAAUAUCCUUAAGUACCUUCGGAGGACGAAGGAAUGGUUCUUAGUCCUCGGAGGGAGUGAUGACUUGAAGGUGCGAGGGUAUAGUGACGCCAGUUUUCAGACCGACAGGGACAACUACCGUUCGCAGUCGGGCUGGGUCUUUACCCUAAAUGGAGGAGCAGUGACAUGGAAGAGUUCCAAGCAGGAAACCGUAGCUGAUUCAACGUGCGAAUCAGAGUACAUUGCAGCGAGCGAAGCGUCGAAGGAGGCAAUAUGGCUAAAGAACUUCAUCGGUGAUCUUGGAGUUGUACCUGCCAUAAAGGAGCCCAUGGAGAUUUUCUGUGAUAACGAAGGAGCGGUUGCCUUGACCAAGGAACCGAGGGAUCAUGGUAGAUCAAGACAUAUCGACAGAAAAUAUCACUUCAUUAGACAUCGUGUAGAAGAAGGACAACUCGUAGUGAAGAGGAUAUCAUCAGAAGAUAACCCAGCAGAUCCGCUUACGAAGGGACUGAGUAGGGUUAAGCACUUGCAGCAUGCUAGGAGUAUUGGGCUGAAGGAUGAUAUUAGCAUAGAUUAGAUAGUAUUAGAAACGUGUAAUAGAUAAAUGUAAUUAACAUUUGAUGAUUAAAUAAAGGAGUUUUAUUUAUGAGUAAUGUUACUAUCUUAUGUUAAUUGUUUAACUAUUGUUUCACUUUGCAUGUUUUGACUUCCAGAAUAAUUGAGUUUAUUAGGAAUAAUCGAAUUGUUCAAAUUGUCCACAAUCGUUCAUAUGUUGGAAGUAGAUAUGAAUGAAGAUUGUCAUGAAUUGGUGUGUAGAUUGUCUAAAUGGUGUUAGACAUAGCAAAGGGUUGCUGCAACGUUCAUGAGUGCUUAUGAACUAGUUUUGAGCAUUGGAACAAACCCGCGCUUGCUGGAAUCACCUUAUGGAAUAUGAUAUAAAAGGGUGAUCGCAAGACGAUAAUAUCAUAUAGUCUUAAAACCUAGAUAUAUGGUUUGUUAUUUGUUAAUUGAUUGUACAUUGAUAAUGCGAAAACGCAUCAGUAACUCGGUGUUAUAAAACGCAUUGUUGUGUAUAGUUGGUUAAUGAAUAAGUAAAUGCAUAUAAGUCGAAGUUUAUCUGUAACUUUUAUCUAAGAAGGUAAAAGCGAUAUCUCGGCCGCUCGAUGAUUUGAUUUGACUUAUGUGCCGGGCCCGGUCAGAACUGAAUUGAUGUGUUCGAUUAAGUUCUAUGUCAAAUAAAUCAGAGAUCGAGAAACCUAAAUGCUUGACUAACCAUUCCAUAGGAUUGUCAGCAUGAUAUCUAACAGAGGACUGUACGAUCCCUUAUCUAAAGGACAAGAUUGAUUAGAUCAGAGUUUGACAGCGUCUUUGAGAGCUACGAUUGCAAACCGAAUUGUACUUGUGCAUAUAGUUACUAGACUUAUCCAAGUGGGAGACUGUUGGAAUAGUGUCUAAGGCUGCAACUAUAUUAGGCAAGUAUUUGACCCGGUUGUGCAUGGUCCUUUUGGGUUGCCUUCACCAUAGCAACUUGAUAGGAUGAUUUAUUAAGAGAGAGUAAAUAUUAUUAGUAUAUUAUGAGAAUAAUAUAAAGAAAAUUAUAUUGUUAUUUGAUUAAUAUAAGUCAUAGAAUUAAUUGGAAUUAAUUUGGUGACUUAAAGAGAUUAAUUAAAUAAGAGGGUAUAAACUGUCAAUUGUUUGAUAGUUAAACUUUAGACUGUAAAUCCAUAUAGAUAUGGAUUGGGCGGAUUCUAGGAGCUAAAGGAUAGCUCAAAUCGUCCAAGAGUUAUCUAAGGAAUGGAUUUGGAUAGCCUUAAGAGAAGAUUAUCCAAUUAGGGUUUAGGUUGUAACCCUUAAGGAGUCUACAAGUAUAAAUAGACCCCAUGGCUAAGGGAAAUCGGUACUUCACCUAAAGUAGAGAAGCCCUGGCCGAAUUCCUCCCCUAUCCUCUCUCCCAAAUCAUCCUCCUUGCUAUUUGGUGUUUGUAAGCCAUUAGAGGAGUGACAAUUGUGACUCUAGAAGCUCCAAGACAACAAGAUCAACAAGGAGUUCAAAGGUAUGAUUCUAGAUCUGUUUCAAUAUUGUUAUUACACCUAAAUAGUCAUUAGAAGUCUUGGAUUCAAAGCAUGUUUAAUUAGAAAGCCUAGAUCCAAGCAUUAGGGUUUUGCAUGCGCACAUAGGAAAGUUCUUAUGGCUAAAACCCAUCAAUAUGAUGCAUUCUAUAACGUAUGCAUGAGAGAUGAUGUAAAGUUUAGUAGUUAGUAGAUUAUUUGAAACAUUUAGAAUAAAGAAUAAAUUUUAUAUCACAAGUGAUUAUGAGAUUAUAAUAUCUUUUAUUCUUAAAAGGUGGAGACAUUUGAGUUCAUUGGAUAUAAUUUAAUUGUGUGUUAGUCUUUUUCUACUAAUAUUUGUAACCUAUGGCACUAAGGAGUAGGUCUAUGUAUGAUUUGACUCAUAGACAAAAACUAUGUAGUCAAAGUUUAUAUGUCCCCUUUUACCAAAAGUGAAAGGUGAUAUCAUGGGCCCCUCGGUGAUUUAAUAAUGAUGUUUAUGUGCUAAGCUUUUCCCGAACUUGAUUGAGGUAUUCAAUUAGUAGUCUGAUUUGGUCAUCAUAAAUCAAAAAUUGAGAAACAACUAAUGGUCUAUUAGGUUGAUUCAUAAUCUAUGACUUAAUCAACAAUGAUAUCUUGAAAGAAACAAAUGAAUAAUUGAUCACUUAUCUAAUGGCCAAUUCUUGAUAAGAUCAGAGUUCGACAGUUGUUGUGGAAGGUAUGCUUUGUUGGUUAUUCAAAGGUUAUCUGACCAAUAGUAAUUGAUGAAUUUUCCAAGUGGGAGACUGUUGGAAAUAGGUGUCCAUUAUCAUAACUAAUUGGUGUAACUUUGGGAAUAAUAGAAAAGUCCUUGUUGGGUUGCCCUCAAGAGAAAGAAUAGCUAGAAAUAAUUUUACGAGAUUGAGAUAAUGGUUUAUUAAUUUAUUACAUGAUUAAUAAAUUAAUUAGAAACAAGAUAAAAUUAAUUUAAAUUAAUUUGGAAUACAAGGACUGAAUGUUAGUUUUUCAAUAGUUGAACAAAGGGAAAAUUUUGGAACCCCAUAUGUGGUGGAUGGUUUUUGAGCCUCCCUGGAGUGUUCCAGAUUUAAUCCAAGUAACAAAUAAGAUAGUGAUGUGAAUUAGGAUUAAAUCUGAUUAUUUAAUUGACUCAAAUCAGGUUUAUCCUGUUACCACCACAACUAUGUAAAGGAGCUUUGGGGUGCUUAUAUUUUCAUCCAUCUCCUCCCUCCUAAAAGGCUUAGAAUUUCCUUUCUCACCUCUCUUUCUCUCUCUCUCUCACUCUCUCUCUCUUUUGUUUUUAGGGUUCUUGGUUUUGGGUGUGAACCAUUAGAGGUACUUUAAUUUAGGUACUAGACUUCCAAGAAGAAACAAAGAGCAUAGAGAAGUCAAUUCUACAAGGAAAUCAAAUUGUCUAAAGGUUAGUAUUCGAAUCCCUCUUCUUUUAGCUUCUUAAGCUAGUUUUAAAAGUACGUUGCUAUAAUAGUAAAACUUAGAUCCUAGGGUGCAUGUACACUUAGGAUAAUUUUUUAAUGAUUUCGUUGUCAUGAUCUAGUGUAUAGUCGCACAGAAAACCCAACAAAUGGUUUAAGAUAUUCUUUUGGACAUACUAUUUUGUUGGUAAGUGUAAAGGCAUGUGAAACGGAUUUGAAUAUGAAUGAUGUCAUAAAGGUGAUGGAAAUGAGUGUUGUUAAAUUCCUAAACACCAUCACAUUGAAAAGCAUGUUUGUCAAUAUGAAGUUGAGUUUUAAUGUAUGCUCCAAAAUGAAAACUAACAUUGAGAACACAUCACACUUCACACGAAUAGGAUAUACCUAAAAAAUGAGAGAAAACAUCAAGAUAAAUCACAUAACACAUUAUUCUACUAACAAUUUGCAAACAAGAAGUCCACACAUCAAAUUAAUAAUUUUAAAAGGAAAAUAUGUAACCAAAUUUGAUAAUGUUAAAGGUAAUCGAACAUGUUUACCCAAUUAAAACGUAUGGAAUAAAUUUGAUAAUUUUUUGUUCGUAUAAGAAAAUAAACUAUGAGAAAUUACAUGUUGAAAACUUGAUGCUUUGGGUGACUGAGAAGCUAGUGCCAUAUAGAAGGAGGCAUAAAGACAAAAGCUUGAGAGAUUCCAUUAGUGACUAGAUAGACAUCACCGAUGUUGUCACAUCAAAGGAGGGUUUGAAGGUUUUGGUAAUCAUUCACAAAAACCAAAAUUCAUCAAAUUCAAUUCUAUAUUUAUAAUCUCAAGUAAAAGGUUUAAUAGAGAUAAAAAAUUGAUUAUUUAAUUAGUUAUGAGAUAUGGAUUGGAUUUGGGUACGAUAGAGACACACAAACUACUUAUGGGUAUCUUUGAUCCGUCCCCAAUCAAUACAUAAGAAUAAAUACAAUUAGAGCUAGUGGAGUGAAGUAUACAUGCAUUUGAAUGAAGAUGAGAGGUGGAUCACGAGUCCAUAUACCACUUCGCAUUAACUGAAUCAUUUAUUGACAUCAUAUUAACAUUUGAGGUAUAAUUAUUUCUUAAUCUCGAGUAUAAAACACUAAAUGUAUGAACAAUGAAGGUUAGUCAACAAUAUGUGUCUUAUUAUGUUGCUAUCAAAAGUAAAGUAGUGGGAUUGAGGCAUAAAUAUGGCUUGCUAAAAGUUGUUGGACUACUCUAAAGUGGCUUGUGUUAUGCCAAAUUGGUUCGCUUAUGUUGAUUACGACGAUGAUGUCCAAUGGAUGCAAGAAGGUUCGGAAGCAACCCACUUGAUUGAGUGUUAGAAGAGCCACAGUUUGAUCCAUGACUAUAACCCUGACCGUCGUGAUUGGAUCUACCACCAUUUCUUCUAACACAAUAAUUACUACGAUUUUGUCUCGGAUAUGGUGAGUCGGUGACAAGAACAGCCAAAGAAGAUGAUUGAUCUAUAUAAGAUGCAUGGAUGUUACGUGUUUAAACUCGAUUCAUUUGUUUCUCUUUGAGGGGAAGAGUUGAACGAGUUUCUAAGAAUAUGGGAAGAGGAGAACAAUGACCGAUUAGAUAGGCUACAUAUUCAAAUUUUGGUGAAAAGUCAUUAAUCAUGUAAGUAACAAAUUCUUUCCCGAUAAUGUUAUCGAUGAGGUAAGCAAUCGUUUAAUUAUUGUGUAAUCAUCAAUAGCUAUGUUGUGGAGCUCGUUAUCAAACUGAAUUGUACUUUCAUGUUUGUUAUCUCUAAAGAGGGUUUCAAGAUCGGUCCAUACUUGUCUUGUAGUGUGUAACAUCCAAAUUUUGAAACCAAAUUUUUCAUUUUUAAUUUCAUACAAAAUGAUUUUUCAUAAAAACCAUAUCAAGAAAACCAUAAGGUCAAAUAUAAAUCAACAUCAAAAUAUCAGAGUGUCCCAAAAUAUCCAGUAACAUAAUCUUCAGGCGCAUGUGUACAAUCAAGCCUUCGCUUUCCUGUGAUCCUCGUAAGUACCUGAAACACAUUUAAUCAACAAAUGUAAGCACAAAGCUUAGUAAGUUCCCCAAAAUACCAUAUACAUCACAACACAAAAUAAGAAGCCAUGGGUUAUCAGCAACCCUGGAGACUACCCAAAGUCUCAGUGGGCAAACAACACGCCUAAUGGGUUAUCAGCAACCCUAGAAACUACUUGAAGUCUCAAAACAAAUAGUAACACAUAUCACGGUAAAUAGCAUAUAGACCCAGCUGGUCAUCACAUAAAUAAACACAAUUACCACACAUGUAAGAAUAGUGAGGAGACUCACCCACACAAAUGACUAAUAAAACUCACACCCGAACUAGACUCUAUGUAAUUAAAUACGACAAUUAACCUUAAUUAAAAUUAAGGAAUUUCCCACACAUACUACUAAGCCCAAUACAAUUCUAGUCCACACUUAGAGCAAAAUACCAUUUUACCCGUACAAUACCCCUCACAAUCCACCUAAGACACAAGUGGUCAAAGUCAAUGAAAGUCAACCUCUGACCAGUACGCUCGGCGUACUCAAAUCUACGCUAGGGGUAGAGAGCAAGGCAAAAGGAACAUGCUUGUAUCUGGUUACGCUGGGCAUAGCCAUACAUACAUUCAAUGUAUGCGGAUAGAUCUUAAAACCUCCUAUUUAACGUCUUAAUCAUUAAUACAUUCAUUCCAAACUCAGAUCUGGCCCCUAAAGAAUGUCCAAAACCAUAAAGUCUCUGACUUUAAGCCUUUACAUGGCUAAAGAGAGCUUAACCUUAAAAACCCUAACUUCAACAUCACCAAAAGCUCCAAAACACUUGCAUGAUGGGAAGGAGAAGGUCAAGCUAACAUUUUUAAGACUCAAAACAACCUAAGACCUCUGAAAGGACAGCUCAAAAGCCCUGGAGUACUCCAUACUCACAAGGAUCAAAGUCUUAGGACAAACAAUUCAUAAAUCCAUGAAAAAACAAGAUCUAACAACAUAAGUUCCAAUGUAAGAACUUUAUACCUUCAGAAGGUGGAUAAGGAGGUAUAGAUUUUGGAUCCAAAGUGUAGCGCCCGAAUUGCCAGGUAUGAAGUUUCUGACCUAGUCUAUUUUCAAUUCAAGUUAAGGUGGUCAAAGGAUGGUGAGUAUGUUGGGCGUACCUUAUGUACACAUGGAUUACUCGUUGUAUGCGCGCCAUCGGGGGAUCCUCAGCAUAGGUUGGGCACACCCAUGCGUACGUUGGGUGUAACCAAGCCAGGGGAAAACCCUUAAUUUUAGGAUUUGCACCCUCUUUAUGGACCUUAAGUCCCUUACUUUCUAGCCUUCAUUGAUCUUGUAGUGAAAAUCUCAAACCCUAAUCCACAUUGAGUGCAUUCGUGAGAUUUCUUGAGUGUUUGUGGUGUUCUUUAGUGAUUUUGAAGGAGAAGGAAGCUUGGGAAGAAGCAAGGGCGAGGAAGGAGCUUGUAGAUCCAGAAGUUUGGCACCAUAUCUAACCCAUUGAAUGUAUAAAUGAACCUUGAUCAUUACAAGCUUAGAUCUAGGUUUAGGGUAGAAAAUGGUAUUUUUUUAGUCCCACAGUUUGGAUUCCUGUAGUGUGAGCAACUUCAGACCAUAUGAGUUGUCCUUUUGGACAAUUGGAGGUGUUUUGAGUCAUAAAAAUCUUAUCUUGAUGGUUAAGCCUCAACCAUGCAUGUGUCACUAGUCAUCCAAGUGAGUAAAUGGACUUAAUUCAUGAUUUGAGCCCCAUCCUUGCAUGCAAAAGCAUAAAUUUUGCAACUUUAUGGCUUAAGACGUUAUUAUGGACUUGAAUCUAAGUUUUGGACGUAAGUAAUUAAUUGAUUAAGUCAUGGAAGUAUGUUUGGUUUGGCAGACCAGUACGCCAUGCGUACUCUAGUGUACGUUGCAUGUACUGGGUCAGCACCCCGACGUCGGGUCAAUACCAGCAUACGCUAGGCGUACAAGCCAAGUACGCCGCAUGUACACAAUCAGUGGGAUUAGAAUAUUUUGGGCCCGUUUGGUGUUGGGCUUUGAAAUUAUGUGAGUUAGGCCUCGGGCCCACUUGAUUGUAGCAUGCCAUUUUUGGGGCUUAGUCCAAGUUAGGUGUUCUUGGGUCAUAUUUGGCCUUAGAGGCCCUAUAGUUGGCUUGGAUGCCUUUUUGGGUUUUUUUAUGGAUUUGGGCCUUGGCGGAAAGGAGGACCAAUAAGGCAGAGGUAAAGGAGCCCUUUUGCCUUAAGUCAAGAAUUAGGGUUUUGGACUUUCGGGUUAGAAUGUAACCUAAUUUCUAAGUGGACUCUUGGAGGCGUUUUGAGUCAUAAAAAUCUUAUCUUGAAGGUUAAGCCUCAACCGUGCAAGUGCUAGUAGCCAUCCAAGUGAGUAAAUAGACUUAGUUCAUGAUUUGAGCCCCAUCCUUGCAUGCAAAAGCAUAAAGUUUGCAACAUUAUGGCUUAAGGCAUUAUUAGGGACUUGGGUCUAAGUUUUAAACGUUAGGGCUUAAUGGAUUAAGUCAUGGAAUUAUGUUUGGGUUGGUAGACUAGUACGUCGUGUGUGCUCCAACGUACGCUGUGCGUACUAGGUCAGCACCCCAAUUCUAGGUUAACACCAGCCUAAAUUGGGCGUACAAGCCAAGUAUGUCAUGCGUACGUGGUCAGUGGGCUUAGAAUAUUUCGGGCUCAUUUGGAGUUGGGCUUUGGAAUUUUGUGAGUUGGGUCUCGGGCCCACCUAAUUGUAGCAAGUCAUUUUUGGACCAUAGGCCAAGUUAGGUGUUCUUGGGCCAUAUUGGGCCUUAGAGGCCCUAUAGUGGGAUUGGAUGCCUUUUGUGUUUUUUUAUGGAUUUGGGCCUUGAAGGAAAAGAGUCCCAAUAAGGAAAAGGUAAAUGAGCCCUUUUGCCUUAAGUCAAGAAUUAGGGCUUUGGACUUUCGGGUUAGAAUUUGACCUAAUUUCUAAUUAGGGUUUUAUGCAUGUGCGUUAGGGAGAGGAGUGUGUGAGUUAUCCAAUGAGUAAGAUUUGAUACCCAUAGUUUGAGCAGUCUUCCUUCGCAGUAUCUGUGGGUCGAAGGCACCAAGGCCAGUCCACUAGUUUAUGAUGUAGUGUGAUGGUUAUCUUUGUGAGAAUUGUUAGUUAUGCAUGUAUUUGCUUAAUGAGUCUAUGAUUUCUAUUAUGAUAAUUUUGUGGUAGUAGUAGGGGUGAAAUAGACAUGGUAUCCGGUUGAAAUAGACCGAAGAGGAUUGCAAGCACCCAGAUAUGCUUGAUAGUAUCCGGUUGAAAUGCACCGAAAGGGUAGGAAAGUACGUAGAUAUUCUUGACAAUAUCCGAUUGAAAUAGACCAAGGGGCUAGGAAAGUACCCUAGAUAUGUUUGGAAGUAUGCUCGUUUAGUAUGUGGUAUUUUGGGGGAACUUACUAAGCUUUGUGCUUAUAGUUUUCAUUUUAUGUUUCAUGUACUUCCAAUUCGAAGGGGAAGGGCCCGACCUGAUCGCACCACAUCACUCCAUGUUUUUCCACACUUAGUGAUUUUGGGAAUUUGUACUCUGAUAACAUGUUACAAUUAUACUCUUUAGACUAUUUUGGUAUCAGUUUCUUAUGAAUUGAGUGGAUUUAAAAACAAAAAUUUUAUCUGUAUUUUUGGGAUGUUACAAGUUGGUAUCAGAGCCUUGGUUUGAGGGAUACUUGGAUACUCUCAGGUGUUCUUGGACUCAAAUCAAGGGUUUUGUAAGUUUUUUUAUAAAAGAAACAUUUUAAUCAAAUGAUUUUAAUAAAAAGGCAAGGGGGUGUGAUACGUGCAAUCGGUCGAGCUCAAGUAAGUUUUCUUAAAAUACCCACACAAGCUAUAUGUUAUGACAUGAUAAUUGCAUGCUAUAUUAGAGGCUAAGGGUAUGCUCAGAAUUGCAUGAUAGAAUGCUAGGAGAUAUACCUUUAUAUGCCUAUCUGUAUGAUCUUUUAGAUUUACAUGCUAGUAUCAGACCAGUUACUUGUUAGGAUGGCCUGUAUAGAGUAUGUUUUGAAUUGAAUUUCUUGAUGCUUGAAUGUUCCAUGCUUUGUGCUUUAGGAAAUUUUUUUGGUAAUAACUAACUAGUGAAUGAAUGUGUUAGGUUACAUAUUAUUGCGAUUGGAUAAUUUUAGAAGGAUAUGUUUAACUUUAUUGCGCAACUCUUGUUUAAGUCUAACCGUUGUAGUGUGGGAGAAUUAUUAGUACUAGUAGUAUGUAAUUGUGUUCAUGUAGUAGUUAAAUAGUACUUAUAGAGGUUCCUUCUGCAGCUGAUAGUAGAGAGGGGUGAGGAAAGGAGUCUUAGGGAGUCGCUAUGAGAUGUUUGGUGCAUAAGAUGUUUGAGGGAGGUGUCGAAGGUCAGGUUCGUUGUAUGAUGUUUGAGGGAGUGAGUCUGGGAUUGGUGGGAGGAGGUCGGUUAUGCUUUGGGAGCCCCGACCAUUACGGCCAUGACCUUGCCAGAUUUUGUGAGCAGGUUUCGAGCAGAGUUUGCACCGGCUGUUGAGGUACAACAGCUAUCCAGGGAGUUUCUUGAUGUGAGGCAGAUGACUGAGACUGUGGCGGAGAUCACCGCCAAGUUCAGAGAGAGAGCAUUGUCGGUACCAUAGUAUGUAGUUGAUGAGGAGAUGAGGAAGACCUGAUACCAUGAUAUGCUGAGAUAUGACAUCAGGGAGUUCGUUAGUUUUUCUUCCUGCCCGACUCUUCAUAUAUGAUAUCCAGGGCGUGUGAGUGAGAGAUUGAUCUGGAGCACUUAGGGAAGAGGACGAUAGAGCCUGGGCAGACAGUUUGGGUUUCAACGAAGAAACCCAAGGGUAUCGAAUAUAGGUCAAAGGGCCAGCAGGGCCGGAGCCGCUAUGGCAAAUGAUGUAGGUCACAUGACGAGGUUUGCGAAACGGGUGGUUCAGGAUACUAUAAGUGCGGCAAGACAUGGCACUGUAGGAAGGAUUGUACUGCUUCUAUCACCACCUCAUAGACAUCAGACUUGAUUUCCUUUCAUUUCAAUCAGAGGGGCCACAAAAUGCCAACUUCCUAAGUCUAGCAUUAGGAGGACCAGUGGUAGCACCAACUCCAGCAACCCUACAGAUCACAGAUGGCCGCUAAGGCAAGGCGGAUGCUCUAAUGGUGAGGAGCCGAGCCUUUUAGCUAACCGCCGAGGAGGCACGAGCUGCACCAGAUGUGGUGACAUGUAUGUCUCUUCUCCUUAACUCUUUAUUUAUGUUGAUUUUGUUGCUUAUGUUUUAUGUGUUUUGUUGUAGGAUCAUUCCUUAUGAACGGUAUCCCUGCAUUGGUAUUAUUUGAUUUGGGGGCUACCCGAUCUUUUGUGUCUCUUGCGCUCAUCAAGAGGUUUGUUAGAGCUCCGAUCGAGUUGGAUCAUCCAUUAGAGGUAGAGAUUGGGAAUGACCGAUAUGUCCGGGUAUCGAGGGUUCAUCGAGAUUGUGUUGUAGAUAUGUUUAGCAAGCGGUAUCCAAUCGUUUUGGUUCCAAUUCCUAUGUGCGGGAACAAGGUUAUAGUGGGGAUGGAUUGGAUGAGCCCUAAUAAGACAGUGAUUGAUUAUGAGUGCUAGAUGGUACGUGUUUGGACCCCAAGUGGGGGAGAUUUGGUGGUCCAUGGAGAAGGCACUUAGCGCGAUCCGGUCCCAUGCUCAGCCGCUAGGUCCAAAUGCUAUCUUCAUCAGGGUUGUUCUGGGUUCGUCGCCAAUGUUGUGGAUACCCAGCAGAAGGGUAAGGUAGUGGUUUAUGAUGUGUCAGUUGUGAGAGAGUACCCGGAUGUGUUUACGAAGGAUUUUUCUGGGGUGCCUCCGAAGCGGCAUGUGGAGUUUCAGAUUGAUUUGGUUCCUGGUGCGGCUCUGAUAGCCAAGUCAGCAUAUCGGUUAGCUCCACCAGAGAGGUUGGAAUUAACUACACAACUGCAGGAGCUAUUAGACAAGCGAUUCACCCGAUCGAGUAGCUCACCGUGGGGUGCUCCGAUCCUGUUUGUGAAGAAGAAGGGUGUAUCACAUUGGAUGUGUAUUGACAACCGGGAGCUGAAUAAGCUAACGGUGAAGAACCGUUACCCACUACCAAUGAUUAAUGACUUGUUUAACCAGCUUCAGGGUGUAUAUUGGUUUUCCAAGAUUGAUCUACGUUCGGCUUAUCAUCAGAUGAGGAUCAGAGAGGACGAUAUGCAAAAGACGGCCUUGCGGAAUCGUUAUGGUCAUUACGAGUUCGUGGUGAUUCCCUGCGGGAUCACCAAUGCUCCAUUCGUGUUCAUGGACCUCAUGAACCGCGUGUGUGUUAUUGUAUUCCUCGAUGAAAUCCUGGUCUAUUCCAAGACCCAGGAGCAGCAUGAUGAGCACUUGUGAGAGGUGUUAAAGACCCUAAGGAGGGAGAGACUCUAUGCGAAGUUCUCCAAGUGCGAGUUCUGGUUGCGUGACGUGUUGUUUAUGGGGCACCUUGUCAAUUAGAAUGGUAUUCUGGUCAAUCCUGCGAAGGUAGAGGCCAUGAUGAGGUGGGAAGUUCCGAGGUCUCCAUCCGAGAUUCGGAGUUUCAUUGGGUUGGUGGGUUAUUACCCUAGAUUUAUUCAGCAUUUCUCCAAUAUAAUAGUUCCCCUAACCCGACUGACAAAGAAUACUACCACUUUUCGUUGGGGGCCCGAGCAACAUGCAACUUUUGAGACACUGAGACAGAGAUUUUAUGAGGCACCGAUUUUAACCCUUCCAGAGGGUGGUUAGGAUUUUGUGGUUUAUUGUGAUGUGUCGAUCACGAGUUUAGAUGCAGUUCUGAUGCAAAGGGGUCAGAUGAUCGCUUACAUCUCGAUGCAACUGAAGCCUUAUGAUGCGAACUAUCCAACACACGAUUUGGAGCUAGGGUUGUGGUUUUCGCCCUCAAGAUUUGGCAACAUUACCUAUAUGGGGCCUGCUGUACUAUUUACACGGAUCACAAGAGCAUGAGGUACUUGAUGGAUCAGUCGAAUCUGAAUAUGAGGCAACGUCAGUGGUUGGAUGUGGUAAUGGAUUAUGAUUGUGAGAUCCUUGACCAUCCAGGGAAGGCCAAUGUGGUGGCCGAUGCUCUUAGCCGCGAAGCGGUCGCAACUUCGAUCAAGGAUAUUUGACUGAGGAUGGUAGUGAUUUCGAGAGGCAUAGAUCGAGGCUAUGAAGGAAGAGUACCAAAAACGUUAGUACAUUAUGGGGUCAGGUGGCUUCCUUUGACUGUAAUAGUCGGGGUUUAUUAACUCUUCAUCAGAGAGUGUGGGUUCCAUAUCGGGGUGGUGUGCAUCAGGUCCUGAUGGAUAAGGCGCACAAAUCGAGAUUCUCCAUUCAUUCCAUGGUGACGAAUAUGUAUCGGGAUCUUCGUACUGACUAUUGGUGGCAUUGCAUGAAGUGGGAUGUAGCUUGGUACGUGGAGAGGUGCUUGACUUACAGGAAAGUCAAGGUUGAGCAUCAGGGACCUCGCGGAAAGAUUCAGCCGUUGGAUAUUCCUGUCUGGAAUGGGAGGAGAUUACCAUGGAUUUCAGUAUCAAGUUGCCUCGGAAUGCGCGUGGUGUGGAUUCGAUUUGGGUCAUCGUUGAUUAAUUGACCAAUAGCACACAUUUUAUCCUGAUCCACGAGAGUAUCUCUGCGGAGAAGUUGGUUGAGGUAUACAUCAGGGAGGUCGUGGCACGACAUGGGUUGCUGGUUUCUGCGGUUUUUAAGAGGGACGUCUGGUUUAUUUCUAGAUUUUGGAAGAGAUUCCAUGACGAUUUGGGUACUCGUCUACAUUUCAGCACAACCUUUCACUCGCAAACGAAUGGUAAGAGCAAGCCGACCAUCCAUACAUUGGAGGAUAUGCUGCAGGCGUGUGUUCUGGAUUUCAGUGGUAGCUGGGAUACGUAUAUUCCGUUAGCGGAAUUUUCAUAUAACAACAGCUACCACGCUAGCAUCGAUCGACCUACUUUUGAGAUUUUGUAUGGGAGGAAAUGAAGGACCCUGAUAUGCUGGGGAGAGGUCGGUCAACGAGUCAUGGGAGUACCGAGGUGGUAGUCAAUACUACCGAGUUGGUUCAGUAGGUUCGAAGUAGACAUCAAACAACUCAGAGUUGGCAGAAAAGCUAUGUCGACAAGCGCCGAUCAGACUUGGAGUUUCAGGUUGGGGAAAUGGUUCUCCUAAAGGUGUCACCUCAGUCCUUUCAGGGUUAUAGCCCGGGUGGGCAUGGUAGCGUAUCGACUGGAUCUUCCAGAGAAGCUCAGUCAGAUUCAAAGUAGUUUUCAUUUCUUGCAGCUGUAGAAAUGUUUGGCUAAUAAUUCCUCAAUGGUUCCAUUAGAGGACAUUAAGGUGGAUGACCACAUGAACUACAUUGAGAAACCUCUAGCGAUCCUCGACAGGAAGAUGAAAACCUAGCGGAAUGAGGUUGUGGAGCUGGUUAAGGUGUAGUGGCAGCACCGUAAGGGCUUAGAAUGGACGUGGGAGCUGGAGGAUGAGAUGAGAGAGUAUUACCUAGAGUUAUUUCUAGCAACAGACUUCGAGGACGAAGUUUGAUCUAAGUGGGGGAGAAUUUUAGCACCCGAUUCGCCAGGUAGGAAGUUUCUUACUUAGUCUACUUUCAAUUCAAGUUAAGGUGAUGGAAGGAUGGUGAGUACGUUGGGCGUACAUUAUGUACUCAUGGUGUACUCGUUGCAUGCGCGCCAUUGGGGGAUCCUCAGCGGACGUUGGACGUAACCAAGUCAGAGGCAAACCCUAAUUUUUAGGGUUUGCACCUUAUUUAAGGACCUUAAGUCCCUCAAGUCUCUUACCUUUUCAACCUCCAUUGCUCUUGUAGUGCAAAUCUCAACCUUAAGCUAUCUUGAAUGCAUUUGUGAGCUUUCUUGAGUGUUUGUGGUGUUCUUUAGUGGCUUUGAAGGAGAAGGAAGCUUGGGAAGAAGCAAGGACGAGGAAGAAGCUUGUACAUCCAGAAGUUUGGCACCAUUUCUAACCCAUUGAAGGUAUAAAUGAACCUUGAUCAUUACAAGCUUAGAUCUAGGUUUAGGGUAGAAAAUGGGAUCUUUUGGUCCCACAGUUUGGAUUCGUGGAGUAUGAGCAACUUCAGAUCAUAUGAGCUGUCCUUUUGGACUCUUGGGGGUGUUUUGAGUCAUAAAAAUCUUAUUUUUAUGGCUAAACCUCAACCAUGCAUGUGUCAGUAAUCAUCUAAGUGAGUAAAUGGACUUAAUUCAUGAUUUGAGCCCCAUCCUUGCAUGCAAAAGCAUAAAGUUUGCAAUUUUAUGGCUCAAGACGUUAUUAUGAACUUGAAUCUAAGUUUUGGACAUUAGGAAUUAAUGGAUUAAAUCAUGGAAGUGUGUUUGGGUUGGCAGACCAGUACGCGAUGCGUGCUCCAGUAUACGCUGCACGUACUGGGUCAGCACCUCGACUCUGGGUUAACACCAGCCUAAGUUGGGCGUACAAGCCAAGUACGUCAUGCGUACGCAGUCAGUAAGCUUAGAAUAUUUUGGGCUCGUUUGGUGUUGGGCUUUGAACUUGUGUGAGUUAGGCCUCGGGCCCACCUGAUUGUAGUAGGUCAUUUUUGGGGCUUAGGCCAAGUUAGGUGUUCUUGGGUCAUAUUGGGCCUUAGAAGCCCAAUAGUGGGCUUGGAUACCUUUUUGGUUUUUUUUUAUGGAUUUGGGCCUUGGAGGAAAGGAGGACCAAUAAGUCAAAGGUAAAGGUGCCCUUUUGCCUUAAGUCAAGAAUUAGGGUUUUGGACUUUCGGGUUAGAAUGUAACCUAAUUUCUAAUUAGGUUUUUAUGCCUGUGCGAUAGGGAGAGGAGUUCACGAGUCAUCCGUUGAGUGCGAUUUGAUACCGACAGUCUGAGGUGAGUCUUCCUUCGCAGUAUCCGUGGGUCGAAGGCACCAAGUACGACCCAUUAGUUUAUGAUGUAGUGUGAUGGUUGUCUUUGUGAUAAUUGUUAGUUAUGCCUGUAUUUGCUUGAUGACUCUGUGAUUUCUGUUAUGAUAUUAUGUGGUAGUAGUAGGGGUGAAAUAGAACUGGUAUCCGGUUGAAUUAGACCGAAGGGGUUUGUAAGCACCCAUAUAUGCUUGAUCAUAUCCGUUUGAAAUAGACUAAAUAGGGUAGGAUAGCACCCAGAUAUGCUUGACAAUAUCCGAUUGAAAUAGACUGAAGGGGGUAGGCACGCACCCAUAUAUGCUUGAUCAUAUCUAGUUGGCAGUAUGUUCGUUUAGUAUGAGGUAUUUUGGAGGAACUCACUAAGCUUUGUGCUUACAGUUUUCAGUUUAUGUUUCAGGUACUUCCAAUACGAAUGGUAAGGGCCCGGCCUGAUCGCACUGCAUCACUCCAUGUUUUGCUGCACUUAGUGACUUUGGGAAUUUGUACUCUGAUAACAUGUUACAAUUAUACUCUUUUGUUUAUUUUGAUAUCAGUUUCUUAUGAAUUAAAUGAAUUUAAAAACAAAAUUUUAUUUGUAUUUUUGGGAGUUUACAUAAAGACUUGCAAACACCACCACUUCUUGAAUGAUCCUUCCUUCACAACCAAGAGCACUCCAAGGUCACUCUCAAGCUUUAAAUCACACUCAUAAGGCUAGGGUUUUGUUCUAAGGUUUAAAGGGAAUGGAGGUUGGAUGAAAGGAUGUCUAAGGAGGGAUAAUGUGAUUAAAUGUGGGUCACAACCCUAAAAUUUAGGGUUUAGGAACUGCGCAAGUGCAUCCGGUGUACCCACAUGUACGCUCAACAUAUUCCUUCAUCUGCCUUGACUUAUCUGUUGACUUAUGCUUGGCGUACAAGGCUAGUACGCCCAAUGUAAAUGGCUAAACAAAACAAUAUGAAGGGCUGAAAAUGAAAGUACCUGCCAAUAGGCAUGGAAAUUGCACCCGACCUGAUGGGGAACCAGGUUGACGGGCCCUAAUUGGGAAUGAGUAUUCCCCGUAAAAAAGGGUACCAUGGUAUGGGGCUGGGGAUCCCCAUUAUGCUAAAACCGGGGACGGGACCGGGGUCGGGUACACCAAUCCCCAACCCGCCAUGCCCCCGUAUUGAUGACAUUAUAUAUNUAUAUAUUGAUAAUUUAUUGAUUACGAAAUAAUUCCACUAAAAAUGGAUUGAUUUGUAUUGGACCGAGAGUCCGUAUACCAAAUUAUGUUACUAAUUCAAAGAGUUCUUUAAUCUUCACUUUGUUCGGCGGUCUGUAUACCAAAUCAUCACUUCUUGUUUUGAUGCUUGUUAGACUUUAUGAUUAAUGUAAACAUAAUCUAAUUAUGGCCUCUAGUUUUUUAUCACUUUAAUAAACUUAAUUUUUUUGCGUAAGUUUGGUUUAUUAUUUUGAUAGACCGGGGAUGGGUUGGGGAUGGGUCGGGGAAUCAUCUGAAGUGAUGACUGUGAUAUUGUGCCAUAAAUCCACACUUCACUAUGGAUUCAAAUCUACUCCAUUUAGCAUUGUCUGACGAUGUACAUGCUUUGUUAUUUGGUUUUUCGAGAUAAACAGAGAUGCCAAAUCCAUUGCAGUGAGUUUAAAACAACUUAACCCAUGCAUUACAAUUCAUUCGAUCUAAAUAAAAAAUGAAGGGAUACUGCAUCUUAUAUUUGUAAUUCCAUAAUAGUAGAGUUUCACUACAAGAAUUAGAGUAUUACCGGCGACAAGUGCCGCCGCUAAAAGUAGAGUUUGUCGCCGCUAAUACUAUUAGCGGUGACACGUCGUCACUAAAAGCCCGUCGCUGAUGCUUUGUCACUAAUAACCAAAUUGCCGUCGGGAAUGCGAGAUGUCGCAGCUAAAGGCUUGUCGCCGCUAAUAAGCGGGCGUCGCUGCUAAAGUCGUGCGCCGCUAAUAACUGAUUGUCGCCACUAAAUGCAUCGUCGAUUUGGUAUUUUUUUAUUUCACAUUAAAAUUGAGAAAAAACUGUAUAAAAAGUAUAAAAACUGCUAUGAUAUUAAUUAAUCUAAUCCUACAUCCUUCCAUUCCAAAAUAUUAAUCCAACAUCCUUUUAAAAUACUCAUCCAGUUUAACAUAAUACAAAAUAUCGAAAAUACUAGUCUAAAAUACUUACACAAACAAAGCAUACAAAAAUUCUACAUCUAGCUACUCAUCAUCAUCGCUCUCCUCGUUUCCUUCAAUUUCAUUUUGUUGUGGCAAUGAACGAAACCAAUCUUCAAGUGUGGCACUACAUGUCGGAUCUUUUAACUUUGCUUGAAACAUUUCCAACUACAAAGAAAACAACAUAGUCUUAUAAGUUAAACCAACAUUAUAACAUUCUAUAUACAAAAUAUACAUUCCACAUACAUGCAAAGUACAAAAUAUAGCAUUGUUCAAUAACUAAUAAUUACCAAACUACAAAAUACCAUUAUAGCAUUGUACUUUCAUAAACUAACAAUUACCAAAUUACACAUAUUGCAUGUAACACAUUAUAGCAUUGUACUAUAACUAACAAUUAUCAACCUACAAAAUACCAUUAUAGCAUUGUACUUUCAUAAACUAACAAUUACCAAAUUAUACAUAUUGCAUAUAACACAUUAUAACAUUUUACUAUAAGUAACAAUUACCAAACUACAAAAUAACAUUAUAGCAUUAAGCUUUCAUAAACCAACAGUUACCAAACUACACAUAUUGCAUAUAACACAUUAUAACAUUGUACUGUUUUUAUAUUUUUUCCAUUAUAGCAUUGUACUUUCAUAAACUAACAAUUACCAAACUACAAAAUAUCAAUAUAUCAAACUAUAACCAAACUUACAAUUACCAAUAUAUAAAAUAUUAUCAAACUAACAAUUACCAACAUUUCUAUUACUAAACCAACGAUUACCAACACUUGAAACAAUUACCAAAAUUAAAUAGUCUUGUCACUUGUGAUUGUGGCAUUGGUUGUUCCUAAUUGUACAUCAACACAACCGUAGAAGGUUUACGCUCGAUGCCUCUAAUAUGGCCUCGUCGAACAACAAAUAUGUGAUCUCCCUGUCAAAAUCCAAUUACCACAAACUUUUUCUUGUUUAUCGUAUCAACUUUGAUAGUUGGAUGUUUUUUGCUAGGCCUUUUCUUUUUUUAGGAAGCUCAGCUAAAAAAUAUAAUUAAAAAUAUUAGUCACAAUAGCUUAUAAUAAAUGGAUAAAAAUAGCUAAUGAAUAUAUCAUAAUAAAACUUACCAUUCUGUUCGAGUUGUCCACGACCAAAGCCUACUAGAGGUGGUGGAUCCCCGGCUCCAUCACCUCCAUGUUCUAAGCCCAUAACAUCUACCAUCACGUAGAAGAGUAUCGCCCAACUAAACCCCAAAUAUAGCCUGCAAAAUUACAAUAUGAGUAAGAUUUUACACAUUACAUAUACAAAAAUAAUACACUUUUUGUUAUAGCAUACUACUUUUUUUUCAUUAUAGCAUUGUAGUUUCCAAAUUGCAUACAAAUACAUAUACAAAAAUAAUACUUUCCAUCAUAGCGUCUUACUUCGAUUUUUUUCAUUUUUUUCAUCUAUAUCAUUAUAGCAUCCAAAUUGCAUACAAACACACAAACUACAUACAUAAUUUUUAUACAUACAAUUACACAUAUAAUAAAACAAAUACACAUUCCAUUAUACCAUCCUACUUUGUUUUUUUAUACAUAAAUACACACAUUAUAUAUAUAAAUACACUUAAACACACAUUAUACAUACAAAUACACAAUAUAACAUCAUACUUUUUUUUCAUUCUUUCCAUUAUUGCAUCCUACUUUUUCUUCAAUUUUUUCCGUACACAUAUUCAUUAUACAAUUUUUUUUCGGUACAUCAAACACAUUACAUACAUACAUAGUGCAUACAAUAUGAAUAACUAGAUUAGAAUACUUCAUGAAAUGGAAUAGAACCUGUUGUGGAAUGAAAUCAGAAUGGUGGUGGUGUUGUGGGGGUAAAAAAAAAUCUGGUGGCUUUGGUGGUGAUGAUGACAACCCGAAAUUAGAGGUCAACAAAGCUUAAUACACAAAAUCAGACACCCAAAUCAUUAGUUAGUCACUUAGAUAGCCGGUGGACAGCAAAUAAAUCGAGGAAAAAAAUUGGGAAUCACCUGUAAAAGUUGCAAAUCACCCGUCGCUGGUGAUGAGGCUUCCGUCAUCGGUAAUGGCGCUCUUAUCAUUGUUGAUGAUAAAGGUUGUGUCGCCGGUGAUUUUGCUUCGAUAUCAGUCGUCGACAAUUGCUAUGGUGAAAGAAACAAAUUACAGAAAGCAAUGGAGGAAGAUGGGUAUAUCUGCGAUGACAUUUAGCGGCGACGAGAAGGUAUUAGCAGCAACAUUAGGGUUUUAGCAGCGACACCCUUACGAGGAAAAAGUAGCUCCUUUUUUGGAGCAUUAGCGGCGAGGGUGUCGCCGUCAUUGAGGUCGCCGCUAAUACAUUGAGCGAAUAUCGUUUUCAACUGUUCGAUUUGGUCCAGAUUAACGAACACGGUUAACCAUAUUGUUUUGACGCAGAUCGUGAUAGAAAAGAGGGAUAUAUAUCAAGAAGAAGACUAAAAUUUGUACAAGAAAAUGAGCAAGACGAGAUAAUUGUCAACGGCUUAGAUGCCACGACUAAGAGCAUCUCCAAUGGUUAUACUAUGUUAUGAUUCAAAAUAAAUGUCAUAUUAUCAUUUUAUUAAAUUGACCUCUAUAUAAAUAAACACACCAACAGUUUAGCUUAUUUAAAUAGUUUUUUUUAAUAUAAAUUUAACUAAUAUAUCAACCUCUAUCUUAAAUAUUUUAUAAAACACCCUCAUUUAGAUAGUCAAUUUUUCAACACAAAUAAUUUUUUAAUACGAAAAUAUAAAUACAAAUAUNAUAAUUAUUAUGUUACAGACAUAGAAGUAAAACAUUGAAAACAUUAAAUUAUUGUCAUAAUUUUUUUUAUAAUGAGAUAUUAUCAAAUAUUUAACAGAAUAAUUAAUAGUAAAAUUAAAAGUAUUGAAAUUACAUUAGAAUUAGAUAGAUAAAUGAAAUAUGGUUAAACUAGAAUGACUUAUAUAUACAAAUUAUAUAAAUGUAUUGACCACUUAAUAUUAUAUAGAGUAAAUUAUUGAAAUCGUUUGGUCAAAAUUGCAUUUUUGGUCCGUAACUUUUUUUUUUGCACUCGGAUAGUCCCUGUGGUUUGAUUUUGUUGCGUUUUUCGUCCCUAUGGUUUGAUUUUGUUGCAUUUUUCGUCCCUUACAUAUAUAAAGUUAGGGAACAAACAUGCAAUUUUUACCAAACCAUAGGGACGAAAAACGCAACAAAAUCAAACCACAGGGACGAUCCGAGUGCAAAAAAAAAGUUAGGGACCAAACGUGCAAUUUUGACCAAACCACAGGGACGAUUUCAGUAAUUUACUCUAUUAUAUAUUAAGCAGGCGAACAUACGAUUUUACAGUAAGGGUUGCACGAGAGAGUUAGAGGUGCACGGUAGUAGAAAAAAUAAAAUGGUAAAAAAAAUAAAAACAAAAACAAAACAAAAAAGUUAUCUACUCCAAUGGUAUUAAGUGUUCAAUAUAAAAAAAUUUCUAUGAGAAAAAGUUAUAAAAAAACAUUCCACUAGAGAUGCUCUAAGAAAACGAAAAAAAAAUGUUUAAACGUGGAUAUUACCAAUUAUAUCAUGUCACAAUUCCUAUGAAUUCCUCUUUCAUUAAAUGACAACGUAGCCAAUUACAAUGAAAGAAUCGGACUUGGGGUUAAAUACAUGGGCGAUGAGCUAACUAAAUAAAUACAAGAGUAAAUUACUGAAAUCGUUCCUGUGGUUUGAUCAAAAUUGCACGUUUGGUCCCUAACUUUUUUUUUUGCGUUCGGAUCGUCCCUAUGGUUUGCUUUUGUUGCGUUUUUCGUCCCUAUGGUUUGGUAAAAGUUGCAUGUUUGGUCCCUAACUUUAUGUAUGUAAGGGACGAAAAAUGUAACAAAAUCAAACCACAGGUACGAAAAACGUAACAAAAUCAAACCACAGGGACGAUCCGAGUGCAAAAAAAAGUUAGGGACCAAACGUGCAAUUUUGAUUAAACCACAGUGACGAUUUCAGUAAUUUACUCUAAAUACAAGAUAAAUACCAUAAUAAAAAGGUGGUCGAUGACGGCUAGAGGAGAGAAAGAAGGUAGAGGUAACUAUGAUACCAUGGAGUAUUUCAUCAGGAAUAUAAUCGUAUAUUUGAUCACCAUAUUUAUACACAACUAGGUGUAAAAUCUGUGUAUUAUAUGGGUUGAUUAAAAAAAAAAGAUUAAAUAUUAAAAUGUAAACAAUAAAUAUUUUUUAAAAUAAAAUUUUGAAAUAACAAAAUAAAAGAAUGUAUUAAUUGCAAUUUAGUAUCAUAUUUAUUAUAUUUAAUAGGUUACAUAUAUAAAUAUAUAAAUAUUAUGUGAGUUUUUUAAUUUUAAAGAUUGAAAAACUUAUCAAUUAACAUGUGGAUAUUAUUUAUUUCAAAAAUAUCAUAAAAUGACAAGUGUUAAAAAAACUCAUAAGAGAUUAACAUUCGGUAAAAUAGAUCUUUAUAGUUGAUAGUUGAUACAAAGAUAACUAACUAUCCUAAUGGUAAGGAAGCUAAUAUAUUACAAAGCAUGUAUACGCACAAGUUAUACUUGAGAAGGUGAUCUACUAUAUACAAAUAUGUUUUCUUCCCGGUAUUUAGUUUUUUGUGCGCAAUCCUGUAUUUUUAUGAUGAUUGAUGACUUUGGAUCUUUUAAACAAAAAACGUCUCUUGAAACAAUAAAUACGGAUAAACGCAACGAUCUACAUAUAUAAAACCAAACUUGGUCAAUAAAUGGUAGAGUUCUAUUUUAAUAUAUAACAAAGAGUGGAGUCAAUUAGUUCUUUUAAAGCCAACAAACACUACUACUCUUUUAGUUAAUUUAUGCUUUAAUCAUAUAAACAUAAUACAAUCUUUAUACACAUACAUAACAACUCUUAGAAAUAUUCAAAUGUCUCCGGUGAUUUUUUUAGUAUAAGUUUUAGAUUUCUCUCACUCACAUUAAGACAAAAGGGCGAGGGGUUUCAAAAUUCACAUGACUUAAAGUUAACUCCACCUCUAAGUCCAUCUUCUAUAUUUAUUUAUUUAUUAGAAAAGAAAGAAAGAAAGAAGUAGGUGGUGUCACUUGGAAUACAUGGAAGGACUUAUUGAGUCAUACCCACAUUGUUUGGAAUACUUUGAGAAAAGAAAUGCUUUAGACAUAUCCAAAAAGGGAGAUUACAACUUGAAAACUAAGUCACAUAUUUGGAGGGUUUAUCCUUUUUGGACUCUUUCAUAGCAAUUGGUUAUAAAAAAAGAUUGGUUAGAAAGUUAAUGGAGUUGUAUCAUGAUGUGGGAUCUCAUUUUGAUUUUAUAAAUAUAAUAUUACAAUCAAGGCAUGAUGCGUAUAGAGUGUGUGUUCAAUUUAAUUUUUAGUCAAACAUAAAGUUUUCCAUUAGUUUACACCCAUAAAUGUUUUGAUUCCUCUAAGUGAUUUCUCCUUUUUUUUUUUAUCGAUCUAGACGAAAAGAAAUGAUUUUUUUUUUUCAUAUAGAGGUUACAACGGUUCAUAAUCAAUCUUUAAAUUGUGUUCAUGUUAUAUAUAUAUAUAUAUAUAUAUAUUGAGUAAUAAUUAACACAAAAUGAUAUAAGGUUAAAUCAUUUAUAAUACAAACACAGAUUAGAAAUGUAAAUGGAGUUAAAUAAUGAUUUUGAUUGGUUGAUUUUUGGCUUGACAAUGCACAACUUGGUGGGGGCACAUAGAGAUUUAGGCAAUCUUAAGGUGAUAAUAUAGGCAUCAAUUUCAAUCACAUCCACAAAGUAAGCAUGAUUAAUGGCCUUUAAAAGUGUUUUAUGGUAUUUGAUUAUCAAUAUUUUUUUCAAAAAUGGGGUGGAAGCCAUUACAAUCCAUUGUUUAUGGAAAAUUCUUGAUGAAUUGGGAAAGUUUGAUUGGACAAAAUGCUAAUGAAUCACCUCCCUACUAAAAAUUCCAAACAAGGAGGUUAGUUCAUGUGGGUCCUAAUGCCCUUGUGGGCCCACACAUGACAAAUAUGCUAUUUAUGGACCCUACCAUGGUAGGAUGAUGCCACCAUUCACAUGUUUUCCCUUCAUCAAUGGGUUGAGACCAUGUGCGUUCUUUUGCCUCCCAUCUUCAGGUGACAAAAUUGCGCUAGGGGNNNNNNNNNNNNNNNNNNNNNNNCAACCAUAGUUUAGAUCUUAUUUUUUCAUUCCAUUUUGAUAUAACUAAUCUUUACUUCCGUUUUGUUUUUUGCACCAUUAACAAAUCCACAAUGGGAAUAAAAGUUUAAUUGAAUUAAUUUAAAUAUAAUAUAGAAGAGAAAUGGUGGAGUUCAACAGGGAUUAAACCCAUCAUAGGAUGUUUCAAUGCAAAAUGGUGGGUUUUUAUGAAUUACUAAAUAGAAUAUACAUAUUUGUUUCUCUUAGUUGGUACUUCGUUGAAUUCUUUUCACUCAACCUUCAUUAGACGGCUCGGUACAGGCCAGUUAAAGGUUGUUAUUGCCAAGGUGGAGCUCCCUCAACAGUGUGGUAACGCCAGGAACACNCAAUGCAGUUUGUCAUCCCUUAAGUUUGUUAAAUAUUCUUUCCUUCAAGAAAAUGAUGAUUUGGCAGCAGAACAUCCUUGAACUACUGUGACUCAUACCCACCACUCUUAUGGAUGCAUUUAGUAUCACUAAAUCGGAUUUUAUAGUAAUUAUUUAUAUUAAAAUAAUACUGAAUUUAAAAUUUUAUGUGUUAAUUUUAGUUUGUUAAAUUUUUUAUAUUUAUUUAUUUAUAGGUGAUAAACAAUAUUAGAUAAUUAUAUAUCAAGUAUAAUAGUUAUUAGCUAUACUAUAUACUUCAAUUUUGAUCGUUAAUGUUUUUUAUUAUAAUUUUGUAAAAAUAUACUUUAUAAAGUUGUAAAAGAUGUAAAUAAAUUUAAGAAAACUUAUAAUUCGAUCGGAAUACAUAUACUAACCAAUAUAUUUAUUGAUAUAGAGAUAGUGCGAGUGAAAUAUAUUAUAUUAUAAUAAAAAAACAGUAAUUGUAUUUCAUCUUGAAGUUUGAAUAUAAUGUUCUUAAAAAUAAUAAUAAAAUACAUAAAUUAGCUUAAACAACUAGGCAUAUAUAACAAAAACUAAAAAAACUAGGUCGCUCGAAAUCCAUGACUAUUCUGUCGUCUGUAAUGUUUGUUUAGUGAUUUCCUAAAAAUACAUGUAAUUUUGAGAGUUAACACAAGAUUUGUGACAGUUAUAGGCUUUCUACUAGAGUAGUAGUGAUACCUUUAAAAUGACCAAAAUGUAUUUUCUUUGUAAGUAAAAAAAUACUAAAAAAUGUGUUUUUAGAGAUCCUUUUAAAGAAACUUUGAAAACCAGAAGGUGUUUUUCCAUAAGUAAAAUCAUACUUACAACUAGUUUUGAAGUGGGAGAGAAAACAAAUCAAUGGUUUGUAGAGAAAUUAUCAAUGUUUAUAGUGAAUUUUAUAACCGAGCUAUACAACUAGAUUACCAUCUACGACACUUCAUUGGAUGUCGUAGCGCUGAUAAGACCCGCUUCGAUUUGUCGUUGAUGUUGUAGCUAGAAACCGCAGGUAGGGGUGUCAACUCGUAUAGAUCUAUACAUAUGUAUAUCACUUCGAAUGAUUAACUGUUAUAAUAGUAAGUGUCUUCUAAGUAUUUCUACCUAUGAAAAUGAAUAGUGUCUCACUAUAAAAGUCACCGACUAGUAUAUACGGAAAACUCACAACCCUAACUUAUAUGUUGUUAAGUCACUAGGAAAAAUGAUUUACGUUACAUAAAGUUUAUAAAAGUCGAGUAUCUUCGAUAAGUAUAUAUGUAAAAGUGUACACUUGCUUAAAUAAGUGGUAAAUCUCAUAGUAGUGAUCACAUGUACAUGUAUAAAUUACAAGCUAUAAUAUUUAUAACUAGGAUACAUACAGUAAAGUCCCAAUAUUUUCAUUGAUUUGAAAAGAAAGUCAUAAAAUUUAUUUUUUUGACAGUAAAGUCCAAAUUAUCGGCAGUUUUUGAUACUUUUACCAUUUUUUCCCGGUUAGCCGGUAAUUAGGACUUUUUUGUCAACAAAAUAAAGUUUAAGACUUUCUUGUCAAAUCAUCAAUUAGGACUUUACUGUCAAAAAAAUAAAGUUUAGGACUUUUUUUGUCAAAUCGUUGAAAAUAUUGGGACUUUAGUGUAUAUAUAAUUUUUUUGGUUAAAAAUUUUAUGGUAUGAUACUCUUUAAGCAUAAGAGUUAUUGAAAUCUUCUCUAAUCAGCUAGAUCCUAUUGAAAUCCUUUACGCUUGUAUCUUGUUAAAUCGUUUUUUUAAUCUCAACAAAACGACAUUGAAAAAAAUUGAGAUAAUCAAGAAAGAAAGAAAGAACCAGGGUUGUGUUGGUUUUUUGCAGUCUCAAAAAUAGAGAAAUUAGAAACCUAAAAAAAUGAAAUUGCUCUAGCUUUAUACAAACACAAACAACACAUGCCUAGCCAAAAGGAUGUGAAUGUGGAGAAGGGAAAGAAGGGCAAUUUCGUUUUUUUCGGUUUCUUAUUUCUCCAUUUUUGGGGCUGCAAAAAGCCAACACAACCCUAGUUCUUUCUUUCUUUCUUUCUUUCUUUCUUUCUUUCUUGAUUAUCUCAUUUUUUUUCAAUGUCGGUUUGUUGAGAUUAAAAAACGAUUUAACAAGAAGCAAACGUUAAGGAUUUCAAUAGGAUCUAGCAGAUUAGAGAAUUUUUCAAUAACUCUUAUGCUUAAAGAGUAUCAUACCAUUAAAUUUCUAACAAAAAAAAUUAUAUAUACACUAAAGUCCCAAUAUUUUCAACGAUUUGACAAAAAAGUCCUAAACUUUAUUUUUUAGACAGUAAAGUUUUAAUUGACGAUUUGACAAGAAAGUCUUAAACUUUAUUUUUUUUGACAAAAAAGUCCUAAUUACCGGCUAACCGGGGAAAAAGGGUAAAAGUGUCAAAAACUGCCGGUAAUUUGGACUUUACUGUCAAAAAAAUAAAGUUUAGGACUUUCUUGUCAAAUCGAUGAAAAUAUUGGGACUUUACUGUAUAUAUCCCUAUGACUAAUAUCAUAACAAAAUUCGUAAAUAUCACUAAUAGUNUGACAUUCGAUUUAUGACAUGCAAUUAUCACAUAAAAUCAUAGCAUUCGUGUAGUAAGUAGCAAAAGGUCACAUUCAUGAAUGGCCUAAGAACCAAAUGGAUGGCGGUGAUGUCUAGUAAAAGCUCAUGAACAAUUCAAACUUACUCCUUGGCGAAGCUAGUGGGGAUUCUAAAAUGACAUGAAAGUGCAGUGACCAAAGAAAUGAAUGUUGUUUCAUGCAUGGGAUCUUUAGCUCUCAUAUCAAAAGGAAAGAACGUGGGUGAAGAAGAAGAAGAUUUACUUCUAUCAGAAUUUGAUCUAACCAAUGAAGAAUAUGCUUUGAUGAUCUCUAAUCCAAAUAAGUUCGUGUGUAGAAAGUUUCCUAACUCCAAGAACCGAAACUAGUAAGGAAGCUACAGUUUGGAUAAAGCAAAGGAGGAACCAAAGAACUCUCCUCAGCAUGAAGAACCGAAGAAGGAUAGUAAGCUUGUCAGUGACUCUGGAUUUGAUUGUCACUUCUUGCAAGGGAAAAAAUCACUUUGCCAAAGAUUAUGUCUUGAGAAAGAUGUCAAAAAAGAACGAGAAUAAAGACGAUGAAGCCUACUACCUGCAAAAGCUAGAAGAAAUAAAGAAGAAGAAAGUUGCUGCUAACAACACUAUGAAUGCUUUAAUUGUGCAGGAAAAUCUCGUGGAUGAUGAGUUUGGUGGUGUGGAAGUCUGGUCUACAAACUCUGAGGAUGAAGAGGUUCGUAAGCCUACACAUGGCAGGGCUUUCGUGGCGAAAGAAUCUGAAACUGAAGGUGCAGGGAAGUGCUUGAUGGUGACUGCCGAAGUGUCACAGAUGAGAGGCUACACUACUAAUGGGGUUAUGAUAAAGAAAGGGAGUGAGAAGACAGGUGCUUCGCUACCAAACCAGUUGGCGAGCAGAUCAACGAAUGCGACCAGUUGAUCAAGAAGGUACAAUCAAUUCUCGAAUCAUUAAAAAUCCCUGUCACAAACUAUGAAAAAGAACUGAACAAAUUAAAUUGAAAUUUUCUAGUUUAAGUGGUAGUUUAACACAAAAUCGCCUCACAAAUUCUAACCUAACUGAUCAACUCAGCAGAGUGUCUUCAAAGAGUGAGGAGAGACGGAUGUGGAUACAACAAAAGGAGAACGAGUUAGUUAGGAUUAAGGAUGAGACAAUAUGCAAAGGGAUAAUUUAAAUCUUGUAAAACAGAGAAUUUUUUUUUAAUUGCUAAAUUUUAUAUUCCAAUAUUACCCAAUUGCAUCUGGAUUGUGAAAUAGGCAAGAAAAUUCAUAGUAUCAUUUUGCCCUUCCUUGAGUUUAAGGAGGAUGAAAUUGAUGCAGAUGUAUAUAACUAUGAAGCUUUUGUAAUCGGUAUGGUGAUAAAUAAAAGGUGUUUUAUUUAUGCUCAAGGGUUUGAGGCCAUAUGGGAUUAGUAUUAUUCUUGUGUUUCACUUUGCAUGUUUUGACUUCCUGAAUAAUUUAAUUGGUUAAGAACAGUCAAAUUAUUCGAACGGGCCACAGUCGUUCAUAUGUUGGAAGUAGGUAUGAAUGAAGACUGUCGUGAAUUGGUGUGUGGAUUGUCUAAAUAGCAUUAGACAUAAGCAAAUUUUUGCUGCAACGUUCAUGAGUGCUUAUGAAUAUGAAUUUGAGCAUUGGAUUAAGUCCACGCUCACUUGGAUCACUCCAUGGAUGGUAUCACGAGUGAUUGGUGAGACGAUAACAUAUUAUAUUCUUGAAACCGAUAUGUGUGAGUUGUAUCUUGCAAAUCGGUUACACAUUGAUAAUAUGUAAACACACUAGUAACUUGGUGUUAUAAAACAUAUUGUUGUGUGUGAUUCGGUGAGUAAGUGCAAGCAAGUAUUGUAUCAAAGUUUAUCCGUUCCUUUUAUCCAAAGUAGGAUGAAAGCGAUAUCUUUGGGCCCCUCGAUGAUUUAGUGAUGACAAACGUAAAUGCUCGGCCGGGCUAGGGCUAAUUUGAUUUGUUCAAUUAGUCAGUCGUCAUAAAUCGGAAGUCGAGAAAUAGUACAAAGAGAAUGAUUUGAAAUCAUAUCUCAUAUGAUAUCUAGAAUGGAGGAAUAUAUGAUCCCUUAUCUAAAGGACACGCGUAUCUGAUAGGAUCAGAGUUGACAGCGGCUUUAGAAAGCUACGAUUGCAGAUCAGGAUCUGAAGUCAUACGCAUAAUAGUUAUUAGACUUAUCCAAGUGGGAGACUGUUGGAUUAGUGUCUAAGUCCAUAACUAUUUUGGUAUGUACUUGACCCGAUGGUGCAUGGUCCUUUUGGGUUGCCUUCACCAAAGCAACUUGAUAGGAUGAAUUAUGGAGAGAAAGGAUUAAAUAUGAUUUAUUAAUAUAUUAUGAGAAUAAUAUAUUAAAGGAGAAAUCAUAUUGUUUAAUUAAUAUUAGUCAAGAAUUAAUUGGUAAUUAGUUUUGUGACUAAAAGAGAUUAAUUAAACUUAAGGGACUGGAAUUGUAAUUAUAAGAUAAUUGCAAUUUGGGCCAUGGAUUGCCUUUUAUUAUAAGGUGGACGAAUUCUAUGGGGGAAGCCCAUAUGAAAUCGUCCAAGGCCUUAAGGAAAGGGCUCCAUGGGUUGCUUAGGGCUUAAGCAUCCAAAUUAGGGUUUCCUUGUUAGAUAACCCUAAUAGCUUCACUAUAUAUAGAACCCUUAAGGCUCAAAAACGUGGGGAACUUCUCUUCUAGGGUUAGUACACGUUUUGGGCAGCCUCCAUCCUCUCUCCUCUUCAUCCUCUUGCUUAUGGUGUUUGUGAACCAUUAGAGGAGUGACACUUGUGACUCUAAGCCUUCCAAAGUCAAUUCAAGGAGGAAUUGGGAUUGUUAUUGCUACAUAACAAUCAAGGUAAUAUCAUAAACCUAAUUAUAUGUUAAUAUUGAUUUCCAUAUGCUAGAAUUAGGGUUUAUAGUCUUGGAUUCAAAGCAUGUACAAUAGAGAAACCUAGAUCCAAGCAUUAGGGUUUGUAUGAGCACAUAGGAUGUCUUAUGACCAAAACCCAUCAGUGGUAUCAGAGCCUAGAUUGGUUUCUAUUGUAUUGAUGCAUUGUAUGAUUGAUAAAUUCGUUUUUUCUGUUUCUGGAGGCUGGACUCGCCGAGUCCAUAGAUGAACUCGCCGAGUCCAAGGUGACUUGACGAGUCCAUGCCUAACUCGGCAAGUCGGCUGGUCAGAUGGAGGGAAAACCGGGACUUCUUGCUGUUUUUGCUUAAGGAUAGUUGCCUUAUCAUAUUAGAUCAAUAUAAAUCCGAUUUUAUGAUAUAUUUGACUAUAUUCUUGAUCUAAUUGAAGAUAUUUAUCAAUUAAUAAAAUAUUUGUUUCCUUAUGUGAUAAUUGAUUAAUUAUUUUGAUUAAAUUGGUAAAUUGUUUUGCAAGAAAUCAUUAAAUAAAUCAAAUAUGGAUAAUUAUGUGAUUAAAUGUUAAUUUAGAUUAUUUGUUAUUUGAUCCUUGUUGUUAUGAAAAGUUUCAUAUUUUCCCCUUUAGGUUUUAUAGUUUAAAUUUGAACCCAAAAGUUUUGUUGUUUUGAAAUUUAAAUAGUUGAAACCCUAAUGUUUUGAAAAAGGUUUCAAAACUUGCCCUCAAGUUUAGGAAUUUAAAUUUUUAUUAAUACUUUAAUUUUGAUGUAUAUUUAAAUUCUAAAUCCUAAUGUUUUGAAAUGUUUCAAAACUUUCCCUCAAGUUUUGGAAUUUAAAAGUUGAUUAAAAGUUUAAUUAGGAAUGUUAAAUUCUAAAACCCUAGUAUUGUUUUGAAAAAGUUCAAAUUACACCCUUAUGGUUUUAUUAAUUAAUUAAGGUGUAUAAUUAAAAGAGGUUUAAUAAAUCCAUAAAAGUUUUGGUUUACAAUUUAAUUGAAUUAAAAGUAUAAUUGUUAAAUUUGACCACCUAAUAUUUUAAAAGUGUAAAAUACACCCUAUACUAUAUAUAACAUUAAAAGUCUAACAUUAUAUAUAUGUAUAACUAAAAGUCAGUCUUACCGUUAGUAGGCCUUAUUCACGAAGCUGGUCUAUAAGGGGUGUUUAAGGAAAUUCCCUAUAAAAUGGUCUGAAUAGGUAUCCACUCAUACCCACCGCACUCUUGACUAGUGGAGGGAUGUUAGCCGAACAGGUAGGAUAGGAUGAAAACCUUCCAUUAUAAGUAUAAUGAAUUACAAAAGUAACUAAAUGUUUUCAUAAAAUUCCCAAUAUUAGUUACUUAGGCAAAAGUGAAUUGAUGCAAUUCCAUGAAAUUACACUUUGUGCCCUUGCGAAGACGUUAGUGGAGCGUGUGUGGUUAACCGGCACACUAAAUGGGUCUAAGAAAAGGUAGCAAAGGGUGACUCAAUGUUUGUCAUAGUUCGGUGGAGCGUGUGUGGUUUACCGGCACAUCGAAUAGGUGACUGCAACAUGUGAGUGCACCAUGUAAGUUUGCAUGGUUAUUCACACCCGCUUUGUGAUCCUCGGCAUCCCAGUCACAAACAAGAGGGGCAUAUCGAGAUUUAAACAUGCCAUUGAAAUGUUCAAUGAAUCUCAAAGGAUCUAGGAGUUUUCAUAGAUUUAGAACUUAAAUUUCUUUUUCAUUUUUCAUGGUGGAAAUUAGUGAAUCGUCAUUCACUUACCUUCAAAUGUUCUGCAAUUUGGGUUACGGCAUCCCUCUCCCGAGUUGUAGAAUAUUGUGUUGGGUCCUAGCCUUAGUAUCUCAUUUAAGUGAUUUACUAAGGACUCAAUC
rnacentral:lncRNA from 1 species